AACUCCAGAGGGGGUGUCAGAAAGGGGAAGGGGGUUCUUUCGGUUGGCCACCCAUACAACUCUUUGUGGUUUCGACCUGUAAUACCAUAUGCCCACGAAUCUUCCAAUCUUGGAGCUUCCACCUGGAUUAAAGAAGCCAAGUUCAAAAGUUUUGCCUGCAGAAACAACAGUUUCUCCAUCAUUACUAAGCCAGUCCUCCGGUGUGAUGGUAUCUCUAGCAGAGCAAUACAGGACAGAACACAAGACGAAAAAGAUGGUAGAUAGCAUGUGAGUUGCAGAGACAGGAACCAUGAAUUUUCUUCCUUAUCAUUUUGCCUCUUUUUAGAGCUGUGUCCUCAAAUCUAUAGUUUUUAGUGGAGACUUUUCCUCUUGACCCUGAGUGGAGUAAAGUCACAUCAAUACUGUCUGUCAUCUUUGUCUUCCUCCCGCAAACUAAAUAACGGUUGUCCUUUUGUACCCACUAUUUAUUUUGGACCUACCUACCCUCAUUUCACUCCAGUAAUAAAAUGAAAUGUGUGAAUUGCAUGUCAUUAAAUAAAAACAAAAACACGUAUCUAAUCGGUAUUAUACUGAUUCAGUACUGUAGAAUUUUCUCAAAAACAAAAACAAAAACAUAUACCUAAUCGAAUGAUUAAUCAUUGGAGUGUAGAAUGCAAAGCUUUUUCUUUCUUCAUUUUAAUGAGACAAUGAAUAAAAAUAAGGUGGACCAUGUCUCCUUUCCAACGCACACCUUUCAUCUUUUCUCUUUAUCCCAACAUGUUUCUCAUUCCACUCCACUUUUUUCUUUGUAUGUAUAGUUUAUCUCUUUUAAGAAAUCAAGUAUGAGCAUCAACUGAUAAAUUUUUCUAUACUUUCUUCGACUUGGAGGAGCUUCAUAAUGGGAUAAACAAUCAAGAGUCUGUUUUCACAAUGUUUUUAAAAAGGGUAUUUGAGAUAACUUAAAUGUUUUUGAGGCAAAAUUUUAUUAAGAAUUCAAAUAUAAAAACUAAUUUUCUUUGUUUAUGCAUGUACGAUAUAAAAGUUUUUAAAGUGCUAUUCUCUAUUUUUUCAAUUGUCACUCAAUGAAUUCUAAAAAAAAAAAACAAAACUAAAAUACCUUAAAAUAUUUCUAAAAAAUAAUUCAUUUUCAAAACAAAUUCCCAAUAAAAAAAAAAUUGUGUUUUCUAUCAUAAUUUUUUGAAACAUAUUUUCUAAGUUAGAAAAUAAUUUUUUAUUCUAAAAGAUUAAUAUAUAUAUUUUCAAGAACAGAUACCAAAUAUAACCUAAUUUUUCUUCUAAGGUUUUUUUCCUUAUGUCUCCGUCUAGUUGUCAUCCAAUGAACAAUCCACUUCAAAUAUUUUUGUGCCAAAGGGUAAAACCGAAGGAGAGAAUUACUCAAACACAGGAGAAUUAAGAAUCAAAGGACAAAAGGGAUUGGAGCAAGGUGAUAACUUUUCUCAGUGAACUUCACUGAUUUGCUCAAAGGCAAGUUGCCAGCAAAAUCAAGGAUAUAAAAUGUGUAUUUCAUCUUUUUUUGUUGGACCCAUUGGGUUUGCUUUUUUUCCCUCUCAAUUUGGGAUUUAAUAUAAUAUAGAUCAGGAUUGAGCAGGUUUCUGUAAAUAAAUCAAAAUGGGCGGCCUUUUUUUAACUUGAUUCCCUCUUUGCUUUCUAGCACAUGAGAAAAAGUAGAGCUAGCCUCACAUGUGCACACACUGCACAUGGCAUAGCAUUGGGUACCUAUUGAGUCAUCUCCACCAUAUGAUUAAGCACAGUGGCCCAAAUACUAGCAAUGAAGUUAGAAAAUGCAUUCUUCAUUUUCGUCUCCGAGAGAGUAGGAAAACCAUAUUCUUUCUCUGAUUUUUCAGGAAGAGAGAAGAGACUUCUCACAUAGAGAAUAAAAAAUAAAAAAAUUAUUUAUUUUUAAUAGUGAUAGUUUCUAUGUAGUUUUAAAACUCCCUAAAACUAUUUCCCCAUUUUCUCAUUUAUUUGAGUCAGGUCGGGUCAGUCCACUUGGACACCCAAACCCAACUCCAACAUUGUGGAACUUGGAAGUGUAGUUUAUCUCACUGCUGAACAUGAGAACUUUGUUGGACAUGGUGGGACAUCACUUGGGUCUCUUGAACACUGAAGAGCCCAACAUUUAUAUUGUCAUUUAGUUUGCACCAUAUGCAGAGCCCAGUUCAAACAUGAUAUUGAAAAAAGUUCUAUACACAAAUACAGCUGAUGGAUAGGAGAAACAAAACAGAACAUCAGAUGGAUAAAACUUAGUAAACUAAAUAAACGGUAAAGGAUUCAUUGGAUCUCCUCUUAGCUAUCGCCCUUCUCCUAUGGAGGCUACAAGCUCAUUCUUCCAGGAGGCUUCAGCCUUGCUAGAAGAAGAAGCUGUACUAGAAAGGUUCCUCUUUACAACAAAAGCUGGUUCUUUAGGAACGGGCACUGUUGCAGCAUCACUGCUGAGCAGAAGAACUGCAAUGGCCAUGGUGGGACGGUCACUUGGGUCUUCUUGCACACACAACAGCCCAACAUUUACACACCUCGAAAAUUCGUUUGUGUUGCAUGUUUCACUUAGUGUCUGGUCCAUCAACUCCAAAACCUUGUCUUCUUUCCAUAGCUUCCAUGCCUAGAACAGUUCAAAAAGUUGUAGGUCAGAUGAACAGAGAAUGACUAAAAGAUCAGUACAAAUGAAAGAUUCAAAGCUCUUACAUGACCUAGAAGACUCAGAGUUCGGUCAGACUGAUAAAAUCCAGUGUUCCUCUUCCCACUGAUGAUCUCAAGUACCAUAACACCAAAGCAAAAGACAUCAGACUUCUCUGAGAAAUAUCCAUCCAAUGCAUACUCCGGAGACAUAGCCACUGCAUUGAACCAGUUAAAAGCAGCACUCAGCUAAUUGGGAAACGCAAUCAUACAACCGCUUGCCUUUUUCGAUACAAAAUAUACAAUACUUACUAAGUUCCAACUACUCUGUUCGUGUUUGCCUCUACUUGCUUACUGUCAAAAAUCUUUGCCAAGCCAAAGUCUGAAAUUUUGGGAUUCAUCUCAUCAUCAAGUAGAAUGUUGCUUGUUUUUAAGUCCCUAUGAAUAAUCUUCAAUCUUGAAUCUUGGUGAAGAUACAGCAGCCCUCGAGCAAUUCCCAUAAUGAUGUCAAACCGCUUCUCCCAGUUCAGUAACAUGCAUAGGGUUCAAUCUUGCAAGGUUCCCAUUGGAAAGCAUUACUUCAGAUAUGUAUACAAGAAUGUAUAUGUUACAUGAAAAAGAAAAGGGCUUUAAGGCAGGUUUAGAGACAAACCAAAUAUGAAGGAAUCUAAGCUUUUGUUGGCCAUAUAUUCAUAGAGUAAAAUCUUCUCAUCACCUUCAACACAAUAGCCCAAAAGUCUAACCAGAUUCCGAUGCUGAAGUUUGGCAAUUAACACAACCUCAUUCUUAAAUUCCUGUAAGCCUUGUCCUGAAGCUCUAGAGAGUCUCUUAACCGCAAUUUCUCGCCCCUCUAGAAACUUGCCCUGGAAGCCACAGUGCAUAUGCAUUGGGCAUAUGUUAGAACUUGGUGACUUGAAUUCUGUUUGGUUCAACUCCAGAAGCUCGAGAUGCGACAUAGGUAGUAAAACUAAAAUUAUGAAAUUUUUUUGGGUCUAUGGUAGUAACAGAGGGAUCGGACCUAUUACUCUUUCAUGUAUAUAUAUGCAUGCAAUGAUGUAUAGUUUUCAGGGUUAUGAUCAUUAUAUUUUUGCUAUAGUCGUUAGUAUCUCUUUCCUCUUGUACUAAUUUUUGAUAUAGUAAAAUUUCUUCUCCUCAUGGUCUUUCCUAUUUAGGGUUUUCCACACAAAUCUAUGUGUUUUUAUCCUGUUUUAUUUCUUAUUGCAUAUUCUCAUUAUUUUGUAACAUCAUAUAUGAUGAGAAAUCAGUUGAAAAUGAGAGGAAUAUGGAAGUUAAGAACAAUUACCUUGUAAACUGGCUCAAAACCCCCUUGUCCAAGCUUAUUUGCAUCUGAAAAGUUUUCUGUAGCAGCCAGUAUGUCUUCUAAGUCGAAAAACGGUACAUCAAUGCCUUUCUUAUCCUCUUCUUUGAAUUGCUCUGAGUCUAUUAAGUGUUUCACACGACUCUCACUAUCAUAUAAGUGAAGCACUUGAUUUGCUCUGUUCUCUGAACUAAAAAAAAAAACAGAAAAUAUUGUAUAGAAGACCCUGAAAUAUUCUCAAUUCAGCCAAGCACAAGUCGAAAAGAAAAGACCAGAAGUUAUAUGCUAGUGCAUAUGGCACAAAGAUUACCUUUCCUUUUGGUGAUGGUUCUUUUGCGCAAAUAAGCAAUAUAACCAAUGAUGCCUAAAACUGCAACUAGAACGACAGCAAUUGUUAUGCCUACCACAACCACUGGAAAUGACGACGAUGACUUCUGAUCAGCAGGCUUUGUAGGCUCUGCAGGAUUGACACCUGACACAAAGAAGGAACUGAAUUGAACUUCUCUCACCUACCCAGAAGGCAAAUUUAGUAAGAUACUGGGAGUGUGGCAGUGUCACUGCUGAGCAUUACAACUGCAACUGCCAUGGUGGGACGGUCACUUGGGUCUUCUUGCACACACAACAACCCAGCAUUCACACACCUCAAAAAUUCUUUUGUGUUGCAUGUUUCGCUUAGUGUCUGGUCCAUCAGCUCCAACACCUUGUCUUCUUUCAAUAGCUUCCAUGCCUGGGACAGUUUGAGAAUAGAAAGUUAAGUAUGGUAUGGUAUAUUGUUGAGAACGACUAAAAGAUCAAUGCAAAUGAGAGAUUCAAAGACCUCACUUGACCCAGAAGGCUCAGUGUUUGGUCAGACUGAUAAAAUCCAGUGUUCCUCUUCCCAUUGAUGAUCUCAAGCACCAUAACACCAAAGCUAAAGACAUCAGACUUCUCUGAGAAAAACCCAUCCAAUGCAUACUCUGGAGACAUAUAGCCAUUGCAUUGAACCAGUUAAAAGCACUACUCUGUUAAUUGGGGAUGCGAUCAUGCAACUACUUGCUUUUUUCUAUACACAAUAUGCAAUACUUACUAAGUUCCAAAAAUAAUUUAUGGUGUCAGUAUUUAUGGUGUCACUUUUAAAAUAAUGACACCAUAUGACUUAAAAUCCAUAAAGGUGACACCUCAUAUAAAAAUUUUCAAUAAAGAUAAAUGAUAUUAAUUUUAAGUUUAUAGUGUCAGUUUUUGAAAAGUAACACUAUAUAAAAUAAAAAUUUUAAAAUACUAUAACUUAAUGAGCCCGAGAAUAAUAAUAGUAUAUAAAAAACUCAUUAUUUCCACAUACCCACAAUCCAAAAAAUCUCAUUAUAUAACCCUAACCAUAAUUUUCUUCUACCUCUUCUCACACCCAUAGUUAACACACAACUGCUCUUCUUUACUUCAUGGAUUCUCAAGUAAUCCAAAAUCUCUUAGAUCUAUCAUUUUCAUUUUUUUUCAUUAAUGUCAAAAUCUUUAUUAGCACAAUUGAUUUAUAUUCAUUGAUUUGGUAUAUCUGUGAUGUGGAUUAUGUAAAUAGUGUUUUUUUAUUAAGUUGUAAGAAAGUAAAAAUUAAGUUUAACAUUCCACCAUAUCUUCUAUUUCAUUGUUAAACCUAUAAACCUCAAAAUGAAUGAAAAUAAGAUAAAUGAAUGAUUUUUUUUAAUUUAUUUCAUACUCAAGAAUGAGGGAUAAACAUUUUACAGUAUGAAAUUUUCUUUUGAUCUUACAAGAAAUUUCCUUUGAUGCGACUUUCUGUUUGUUUUCUAGGAAUAUUAUAGUAUAUUGUGAUGACGAUAUGUGUUGGUGAUAUUUGAAAAAUAAUUUUUAGAAAGUUAUCUUAAUAUUGUUAUCUCCCACAAAAGGAAAAAUGAAAUAGUUUCCAUAUCAUGUUGGAGUUGGUUUGGAAUGUUGGAAUUAACAAUGAAAAAUUAAUUUUUUUUAUUAAUGUAAAAGAAUUGUUUUUUAAAAUUUAAAUAGGAAUGAAAAUUUUUAUAAUUAUAAGAAUGAUCAAAUCUUAUAUUUUAAUUUUUUUAUUCUUUUACAUGGUAUUAUGGUUAAUAUCUUAUCUUGUUCUAUUCAUAUUGUUUCUAUUCUUAAAAUGUGUUUUUUGUUUUUUUGUCUUUACCUUUUUUUAUAUGCGUCGACCAAAAUUUAUAAUUUCCGUUUUAAGGUUAGAAAAUUUCUAUAAAAUCCUUUUACUACAUAAAUUUUUUCAAUUACUUCCAUAAAACUCUUUUUUUUUUUUUUUUUUUGAAAGAAGAAGAAGAAGAUGUUUUAUCUUUUGAUUUUCUAUGAAAUUUCCUUUAAUUGGACUGUUUGUUUAUUUUCUAAGAAUAUUAUAGUAUGUUGUGAUGAAGAUAUUGGUUGGUCAUAUUUGGAAAAUAAUUUUUGAGAAAAUUAUUCUCAAUAUUGUCAUCUCUCGCAAAAGGAUUAUUUUUGCUUUCUUUUCUUAUUGUUUUUAUAUGCAUUGACCAAACUUUGGAGCAAUUUGAAAUUGAUGAUGAAAUUUUCCUUUCAAGGUUAGGAAAUUUCUAUAAAAUCCUUUUAUUACAAAUUUUUUUCCAAUUCUUUCCAUAAAACUCUUCAUUUUCUUCAUUUUUCUUUUUUCUGAAAAAGAUGUUUGAUAAUUUAUUGAUCUAAAGAAUAUUAAAAGUAAAAAAAAUUAAAAUAUUGAAUAUAUUUUCCUUUGAUGUUUUUAAUUUUUUAUUAUUUGAACACAAUUUCAUAUCCAAAUUUUUUAUUAAUUAUUUUAAUUAGAAAAAAGAAAUAUCAAUUGGAGUUUUGACUGAAAAAUCAAUAAUUUUUAUGAAAAGCUCUUUAAUUCUUUCUCAUACUAUUUUUUCUCUUAAUAUUUUUUAAUAAUGAAUUAGGUUUUUUGUCUUAUAUACACAAUUUUCAUGCUUGUUAUAAUAUCAUGUCCUAUCAUAUUAGUAGUUGAAAACAUUUUGAUAUUUUGUUACUAAAAUUUUAUUUUAUGUAAUUGAGAUGAAAUUUAAUGGACAUUGUUAUUUCAUAAAAUGAACAUUAAAAAAAUAUUGAAAUUAAGAAAAUCCUUCCAAGAAAUAUAUAUAUAUAUAUAUAUAUAUAUAUAAUGUUAAAAAUGAUUUUUAAAAACAUAAUGAAUUAUAAAAAAUAAAUUUAAAAAGUGCAUAUUUUAAGUGGAAGAUUAGUAUUUUCUAAAUUUUAGAUUUAUAUUUUGAUUUGGUAGUUUUGAUUUAUUUUUUAUUUUCUUGAAUUGUUUUUAUUUGAAUUCAAAUGUGACUACUUUGUUAUGAGAUUCAUUAAAGAGAUAAUUGUUGAUUCUAUAGUUAUUGCAUUAAAGGUUUUACUCAUUUAAUGAAUUGCACAUAGUUUCAUACUUCCAAUUAUUGUGAUAUUAAUGUUAUUAUCAUUUGAUUAUAGUUUGAUGAUAAAAAAAAAAACAUAUUCUUAAGUAGAAUGUGAUGAAAUUAGAGGAGAAUUGACUACUUUUAUAUUAUAACUAAUCAAGAAUCAUGUUGAUGUAUCGUGAUCAUGCAUGGUGAGUCCCUUAGUUGUUAUAUGAAUUUUCCAUUGGUAUUGUAUAACAUUACUUAUUCUUUACAAAUUAUUUUUAUAUCAAAAUGGAAAAAAGAAAAAAGAAAACAUUAGUAGUUAGAUUUGUUUAUUUUUUAUAACAUUAAUUAAUUUUUAUUUUUAAUAAAAACUCUAAAACUCAUUAAACUAUGAAAUGCAAGUAUACACUCUUGGAAGGACAGUAUGAAGAAUAAAAAGAAAGGAGAAAGAGACAACAAGAUUUUGGGUUUUUAGAUGUAACUUUUAUGCCAUAUAUUAUAGGACAUAAACGUUACUUUAUUUGGUAUUGAGAAUUUUGGGUUUUUGGAUGCAACACUUGUGUCAUUUUAUGGUUAGCCAGUUUUAUGCAUAUGAAUUGUAGGUAUACAUGAAUGUUGGGAUGCUUAACAUUUCUAUGUCAUGUUUUAAUGUGCAUUCACUUUUCCUUUUUAGUUUUGGUGGGUUUGAUGUACUAUCAUUUUGUGAACAUUUGAUAUACAAAUAUUAUUGGAUGAUUUAAUGUAUUACAAGUUGAUCUUAUUUAUUAAUAAGCAUUACAAAAAUCUAUAGGCUAAUCAAUAAAAAACAACCAUAUAUUCCAUAAUCAUUUACAAUGAUGUGACACCAUAACUCAAAGGUGAUGCAUUUAACGUGGCACCAUAACUCAAAGGUGAUGCAUUUAAUAUGACACCUUAUAUAUCUCACACAACUCUAUAUCAAAUUAAGCAUUACUAAAAAUAUAUGGUGCUGCUUCUGAAUGUGUCACCAUUUAUCUACAUUGGUGUCGCUUCCAAAUACAUCACCAAUUGGUACCCUCUAUGGUGUCAGUGGAUAAGGUGACGCUAUGUUGUAGUGACACCUUAUGUUUAUAGUGACUCAUUAUAAAUGCCACCAUAUAUCUUUUUCCUUGUAGUGUAUUCACCCCCUCCCCCUCUAGGUGUAGUCCAUUAUUGAGAUUCACCUUUUCAUCAUCCAUCCACAUGCUAGGAAGAAAAGUAUCAGUAAGAUUAUGGAAGCUCUCCCAAAGAAUCUCCCCUGAUCUGUUGUCACUUAAAACAAGGUUCCCGGAGUCCAUGAGCUUCAUCACCAUGCCUGUAGAUAAAGAUGUCUCAGUAUUAGAAGACCAAUGAACUUUCCCAUUUUCAUCCAAUAAUUUGAGCUUACCAUCGUCUUUAAUGGCAAAAACUCCAGAGAGGGGAUCAGAAAGGGGAAGGGGGCUGUCUCGGUUGGCCACCCAUACAACUCUUUGUGGUUUCAACAAGUAAUACCAUAUGCCAAUGUAUUUGCCAUUGUUGAACCUUCCAUCCGAAUUAAAGAAGCCAAGUUCAAAAGUUUUGCCUACAGAAACAAGAGUUCCUCCAUCAUUUCUAAGCCAAUCCUCUAGUGUGAUGGUAUCUCUAGCAGAGCAAUAUAGGACAGAACAUAAGAAAAAGAUGGUUGAUAGCAUGUGAGUUGUAGAGACAGGAACCAUGAAUUUUCUUCUUAUCAUUUUGCCCUCUAUUGUUGUUAGUCAAAGAACCAUGAAGAGUUGCAGAGACAUGAACCACAAAUUUUCUUCUUAUCAUUUUGCCCUCCAUUGUUGUCAGUCAAAGAACCAUGAAGGGUUUGCUACUGUUGUAUUGCACUCUCAUUUUUAAUGGAGACUUUUCCUUUUGACUCUUGAGUGGAGAAAAUUCAUAUCAGUAUUCUUAUCUUGAUUUCCCUUUUUGAUGCAUAGCUUUCAUCUCUGGACUUUUGUGGCAACUUGAGUCUUUAAGAUGGCAACUUUAAUAUGCUUCCUGGUGUCUUCCAAGUAUUGACGUUUUGUAUGCAUCACCCUCCUCCUUCUACACCAAUUUGUUUCUUUGUAUGUAUAGUUUUAUCUCUUCUAAGCAAUAAAGCAUAUGGCAUCAACCAAUAAAUUUUUCUGUACUUUCUCCAAUUUGGAGGAGCUUCGUAAUGGGACAAACAAGAAAAAUUAGAAGUUUAUUUGGCAAUGCUUGUAGAAACAGUUUUUCAUAACAAUGCUAAGAAACAGUUCUCAAAUGUUUCGACUAACUCAAAUAUAAGAACUAGUUUUCUUUGUUUAUUCUCGUACGUACAAAGCGAAAGUUUAAAAAAUAUUCUUUAUUUUAUGAAUUUUUAUCCAAAGAACUCCAUAAAAAUGAAAAAAAUUACAAACACCUCAAAAUGAUUCUAAAAUAUAAUUCAUCUGCAUAACAAAUUUGGCAAAAAAAAAAUCAUUUUUCAUCAAAUGUCUAUCAAACGUGUUUUCUAAUUUACAAAACAAUUUUCUGUUUAAAUAAAAAAAAUCUAAAAUAACUACUAAACAUACCCUGAUUUUUGUUUUAAGCUUUUUUCCUUCUCAUGUCUUCUAAUUUCCAUGCAAUGAAUUAUCCACUUCAAACAUUUUUGUGCCAAAGGUAAAGCAAAGGAGAGAAUUACUAAAACAAACCCAGGAAAAUUAAGAAUCAAAGGACAAAAGGGGUUCAAGGAAGUGAUAAAUUUUCUCAAUGAAUUAACUUCACUAAUUGCUCAAAGGCAAGUUGUCAAUUGUUACAGAAUAGUGAAUAUAGGAAAUAAGAAAAACAAAAUAUGAACAUAUAGAUUUGUGUGAAAAAUCCUAAACGAGAAAAACCACGGACGGAUGAGAAGAAGAUCCACUAUAUCAAAAAUUGGUAUAAGAGGAGAGAGUUACGAGCGUCUAUAGCAUAACCCUAAAAAUACAUCAUCACAUAUACACACACAUAUGUAUAUAUAUAUAAAGCAGGUUCAUACUUUUGAAUUCAUUUAAUCUUUAUAUAAUGAAGGAAAGUAAAAUAAAUUAGAAAAAACAUAUGAAAUAAUUUAUUAACUUCGAAUUUAUUUUUUUAUUUUCUUUUGUUUUUUCCUUUCUUCUAUUUUUCCUCUUUAUUUUUUUUUUUCCAUAUUUUGCCUUAUAUUUUUUGAGAACCAAAUAUAGUCUUAAAGUUUCUUGGAAACUUUGGACUUUAGAAAAAACUUAACCUUUUUUUCUUGGGAAUAAUUUUCUAGAUUUGAGGUACAUUAUCUUAGGGGUGUACUAAGGAUGUCAAAAUACUUUCAAAAUCUAACUCCUAUUUUUUGGAAAGUUAUGAAUUAAUAUUUCUUUUUUUUUUUUUUUUUACUCUUUCCAAAUCUAAUUUUACUAGGAACCAAAUUUGUGAAUUUUUGCACAAAAUCCUAUCCAAGAGAGGAUCUUUUAGAAAUCUCAUCCAUUCUAUAUUUGAUUGAUAGAGAAUUAAAACCACGGUUGUGCAAAAAGCAUAUGAACAAAUAAAAUUAGACCAAGAUAUAUAUCAAUGAUUCAACUUAGAAGAAUAAUGCAUUAGAUUUCUACACUUUGAGUAGUUGCCUUGAUUAAGUCCAAUUACUAGAAGCCAAGGUCAAGGUCAUCGAAGUUUGUCCAUUCUCUUUCAUAAUUUCUUUUUUCCUCACUAAAGGAUAGAAUAUCUCUUUUACAAAUCUUGUCUAUUCUUGAUUGAUUUGGUAGAGAAUUUUAAAAAGGGUUGUGCCAAAAGCAUGUCAACAAUUUAAAAUGGACCGAGAGACGAAGCUUCUCAAUGAGUGGAUGUAUAUCUUUGUCAAUCCUUCAACUUUGAAGAAUAAUGCAUUAGACUUCUAUGCUUUAAGUAGUUUCCUUGAUUGAGUCCAAUUAUUAGAAGCCAAAGUCAAGGUCAUCGAAGUUUGUACAUUCUCUCUUGUGGUCCCAUGGUAUUUGCUCUUUUUUACCUCAUUAGAGGAAAAAACAUUAACACAGCUUCAUGUGGGAACCAACCUUUCUUUUAGCAUCCAUGAUAGUUUUUCUUCCCAAUAAUUAGAAAAAGAUUCAUGAGGACCCCAUAUGAGAACUAUUAUUGGUGAUUGUAUAUAGAAAUAAAGAGAAUUCAUUUAUCCUAUAAAAAACAACCCCUUCCUAACGAUUAUAUAAUUUAUUGGUAACAAUGUGAUAGAAAAUUUUGAGACACAUAUUAUAGAUGAAUCUUGGUUAUGGAUUAUAGUUAGAGGGGGUAAAUAGUUAUUUUUUCCAACUUAGAGAUGGUUCCCAAAGAAGGCUAUCAUUCCCUUCAUUUUUCCCCCUAAAUUCCAUUUUAAUAUUUUGAGCACAAAAUCAGAAAACAUAUGCAAGAAUAGAUACACCGAUAUAUUGUCCCUACAAUGUAAACAAUGUUUAUCAUAAUGAAUCAAGAGUGUACAUACAAACACUUUGAUGUUGGAUUUGAUGGGAAAACAAAAUCAUAACAGUUCACAAGGUAUAAACAACUCAUCACCCAAAUCACAAACACAAAGGGAUACAUAAAAUACCACCCUAAAGAAAACAAUAAGGGAUAUGAAGUUAACUUUAAGAGAUACAAAGUAUAAAAAGAAAAUCAAAAUCUGCUAAAACAAUUUAUCUUUAAAAUGUGUUGAAUAUCCCUCUGAACUAGCUAGCCAAUUUGCUUCAAAUGUAGUGAUUCCAAGAGCAUAUGACAGCUAAGACAAUAAACUUUCCAUUGACAUAUGGUUGACAUAUUAAUUUAGGACCAUUUGUCCCCAGUAAAUUUUCAAAGUUGUCUCUAGUUUCAGAAUUCCCGCUCAUGCUACUAGAGUAAGAAUUUGCAACUCUUUCAACUUAUUUUCAAAGUCUAUGUGUUGGGACACUCCCAUGUCACACUCUCCCAAUAUUAAUUUAAAUAUAGAUUCAUAUUAAUUAGUCUAUGAAUGAUUUGCUUAUCCUCUUGCAAAAUAGUUAAUUUGAUUAAUGAUGAUCUUAAAAGCUUUUAAGUUAUAAACAUAUCUUUGGAUGAUUAAUGAACAUGAUUAUGUGUUCUUUACAAUUUUGAUUUGCUCAUAUAAGCUAAUAACAUGUCUUUUAAGUGACUUGAAAAGCUUGAAGAAGGGCCUUGUGAUUCCAUAAAAGCUUAGUAAUGAUCCUCAAAGUUCAAAUGCAAGCUUAUGUCUAUUUAAUAUGUCUUAAAGAAUUAGUACCACAUAAAAUGAAGUGAUGUCUAGUGUCUAUGUGUUUUGUCCUAGAGUGAAGAACAAGGGAAUUGAAGUUGCUACUUGCACUACUAUUAUCAUCCAGUACAAUCAUGAUUCCUUGAUCUAUUUCAUAAUCACUUUACAAUUGCUUGAUUCAAAGAAGUUAGGCACAAGAACUACCAAUUACAUAUUCCGCUUCAUCUAUGGAUAGUCAAACAUCAUUUUGUUUCUUACUCAUCUAAAUCAAGAUGUGAAAUAGAAAAAUGUAUACUUCAAUUGCAAAUAAAGUGGACAAUGUUCCCUUGCUUUUUAAUUAUGAGAGCUAGCCUCACAUGAGCAUUUGGUUUAGAACUAGGUAAUCAUUGAGUCAUCUCCACUAUCUAAUUAAGCCCUUGAAGUCCAAAUACAAGCGAUGAGGUUUGACAAUUUUAUGCUAUGCAAUUAAUGAUAAUGUAGAGAGGACCAAAAAAACAGAGGAGCUUCCUAUUGACACUCAUUAGGAAAAAAAAUUACAUUGAAGCAUAAGAAUAAAUACUCCAUAAAAUUCAAUUUUAAUGAAAUUAUAUAAUACAAAUGAAAAUGAUGUUGUUAAAGAGCAUGGUAUAUAUUGUGAACUCAAAUUCUACAAGUUAACCUUUUAGAAAAAUUGGUAAUUGAGUAGAGCUUGGUUUGACGGGAGGUCAUGUGUUCAAGAGUCGCUUCUCCCCAAUUUGCAUAUUUAUUUCCUCCUAGGCUACCAAUGAUCUCAUUCUUGGAGCAUGUGUUUCUGGUUUGGUAGAAGAAGCAGCAGCCCUACUAUAUAACAGUGGAAGAAGCAUUAGAAUCUUUGUCUCUUCUUCAAGGUCUUUAGAUUUUUUCAAUUUGUUUUCUUUUCAAUUCUCAUGCAUACAUCUAAUUUUCCACUUCCAUAAUAUUUUAACCUCUGGAUGUGAAAUAGUAUUUGUAGAUCAAUCAAAAGUAUUCCAACGUAAUAUGUCACUAUAUAAUAAUCCAAUAUUUCAACCUCUAUAUCUGAAAUAGUAUAUGUAGAUCAAUCAAAAGCAUCCCACCAUGUAUAUUCAGCUAAUGUAAUCGCUACCACCAACAAAACUAAUUAUUGGUUUCAUUUUAAGAUGUUAUAGCUAAUAAAUCCCUACUUUCCUUACCAUCAAUUACUCAAUAGAUAUCAUGCUUCAAUUUAUUCCUAAUUCCAACGGUAAAUCACUGGUAAUAGAAGGCAUGAUAUACAUAUAUAGGGUCAUUUCUUUGAGUGACUUUACUCAAAAGGAUGGUCUUGAUUACAACUAGCAAAUUCUGUUUAUAAGAAGACCCUAUACAAAACUCACAUGGCUAUGAUCAUUACUUGAGUCACUAUCACACAGAAUUCAUACCAGUUUUGUUUACAAAUUGUUCUUAGGAAGAACAUAUUCCAACUGGGGGCUAAUACAAGUAGAGGUUCCAAGCUACAGACCAAGAAGGUAUGUACCAACAGAUACCUAGCUAGGAUUGCUUCUUCUAGUAACGGUUGGUUAUUAGCACAUAAAAAUGUGAGCAGGCAACUAAGUUGGAACCUUAUAGACACCGUUAGUCUCCCUAGCUUAUGAUAAAGAAUCUUUAAGGCCAUUAAGUCAACAGUUCACACUUACUAACUAGGUUUUUCUCUUUGUCGUGACUUUUUUUUUUCUUAUGCUUUUGGUAGAGCCUUGGUUAACACAUCUGCAAUUUGAUCCUCAAUCUUGCAAUAAAGCAGUUUAACUUCACCAUCCUUUUGUUCUUCUCUUAAGUGAUACAACUUGAUCUUGAAAUGCUUAGUCUUGCCAUGAAAAACAUAAUCAUUUGAAAUUGCAAUUGCAGCUUGGUUAUCUACAUGAAUCUGUGUUGGCUCAUUUUGCUUCAUGUGUAGAUCUGCAAGUAUUUUUCUGAUCCAAAUUGCUUGAUUUACAGUAGCAUUGGCUGCUAUAUAUUCUGCAUCUGCUAUACUUUGAGCUAUCACAUCUUGCUUCUUUAAGGACCAUGAAAAAAUUCCAAAUCCAAAGCUGAAACAAAAUCCUGUUGUACUUCUCAUGUCAUCAAUAGAACCUGCCCAAUCACUAUCAGAAUAACCAUGAAGUUUAAAAUUCUGAUAGUAAGAAUAUUUAAUGCCAUAAUUUGUUGUGCCCUUGAUAUAUCUUACAAUCCUUUUGGUAGCUUGAAAAUGCACUUCACUAGCACAAUGCAUGAAUCUUGAAAGCAAGCUUAAUGAAAACAUUAUGUCUGGUUUGGUGGCUGUAAGAUACAUCAAGCAACCAAUCAGGCUCCUGUAUUGGCUUUCAUCCACUUUUUCUGCUCCAUCAUCUUUGCUAAAUUUCUCCUUCUGAUUCAUUGGUGUGUUGGUCCUUUUGCAAUCUUCCAUGUGAAAUUUGUUAAGUAUUUCCUUUGCAUACUUCUUUUGGCUUAUGAAGACUCCAUCAUGAUCUUGCUUCACCUCCAUACCUAGAAAGUAGGACAUCAAGCCAAGGUCUGUCAUCUCAAAUACUUUGAGCAUUUCAGCUUUAAACUCUUUUACCAGUUUCUCAUUGCUACCUGUUACAAACAGAUCAUCAACAUAAACAGAAACUACAAUUAAGUUAGCAUCUGUUCCUUUUAUAUAUAAUGUAGCUUCACUUGGACUUUUAACAAAUCCAAGACUUUGAAGAUGUUCAUCAAUCCUGCUGUACCAGGCCCUAGGAGCCUGUUUAAGACCAUAUAAGGCCUUUUUCAACAAGUAAACCUUCUCCUCUUGUCCAUUGACUUGGAAUCCCUCGGGCUGCUCUACAUAAAUUUCCUCUUGAAAAUAACCAUUUAAAAAAGCAGAUUUUACAUCCAACUGGUAAGUCAUCCAUCCAUUUUGUGCUGUCAAAGCAAGCAACAUUCUGAUUGUAUCCAAGCGUGCUACUGGAGCAAAAGUUUAUGAGAAAUCCACUCCAAACACUUGACUAUACCCCUUCAUAACUAAUCUAGCUUUGUAUUUAUUUAUAGAACCAUCUGUAUUAAGUUUGGUUCUAUAAACCCAUUUGACUCCAAUGACCUUUCUGUGUUGAGGUAUGUCCACCAACUCCCAGGUGUCAUUCUUUUCAAUCAUUCUAAGCUCCUCUUUCAUUGCUUCAGUCCACUUGUCAUCCUUCUCUGCCUCUUCAAAUUCUGCAGGCUAAAAAACAACAACAUUACUUCUUUCAUAAACAUCAGAUAAGGACCUUGUACCUCUAACUAGGACAUCAUCUAUGUUUUCAUCAAAGUAUUGAGGAACCUCUGGUAGUUGCAUCUUUAUUGACUCCUCCCAAUUCCAUUGUCUAUCCUCUAUGAACUUGACAUCUCUACUUACAAGAAUUUUUCCAUUUUGUGGUUGGAAAAUUCUGUAAGCCUUGGAAGAGUUGCUAUAUCCAAUGAAAACUCCUGGUUCUGCCUUCUUAUCAAGUUUGUCUCUUUUCACCUGUGGCACAUAAGAAAAACAAAGACAACCAAAGUUCUUAGAUUCUGCAAAUCUGGUUUAUAACCAAACCAGGCUUCAAAUGGAGUUUUUUUUUUUUUGCAAAACUCUAGUUGGCAGCCUAUUCAGCAAAAAACUGCAGUGUUUGCAGCCUCUGCCCACAAUUUCUUUGGCAACUCCUUCUCAUGUAGCAUACACCUUGUCAUCUCCAUAAUACUUCGAUUUUUUCUCUCACUUACUCCAUUUUGUUGUGGAGUGUAAAGUGUUGUGAGUUGGUGCUCAAUACCGGCUUCUUCAUAGAACUUAUCAAAAAUUUCAUUUGUGUAUUCUUUCCCAUUAUCUGACCUUAUCUUCUGCAUCCUGCAACUGCUUUGAUUCUCCACCCAUGCUUUAUAUUUCCAAAAUACAUUAGGAACCCCAUAGUUGGAUUUGAGGAAAUAAAUCCAACAAAAUCUGGUAUAAUAAUCAAUAAAUGCAAUGUAGUACUUACUACCAUUUAAAGAUGGUGUUUUCUGAGGUCCUCCAACAUCUGUGUGUACCAGUUGCAGCUUGUGCAUUGCUCUCCAUGUUGUUUGAGGGAAGGGUUUUCUAGUUUGCUUUCCAUAUUGACAAGCCACACAAUCAGCUAGCUUGUCUUGCAGCAAUGGCACACCUUUCACCAAAUUAUGUUUCUGCAUAUAUAGAAGUCCAACAUGGUGGAAAUGCCCGAGCCUUCUGUGCCAUAAUUUUGCAUUGCGUUCAAUGCUUGAAAAUGCUAUUUGCUCAUCCUCCAUUAGAUUUAGAGCAAAGCUUUUUGCUCUCAUUUUCACUUUGAAUACAUCUCUACCUUUCGCGUCUUUGAUCAAGCACCAUUUGUCUUCAAAUAUGACUUUGAAACCUUUUUCAGUUAGCUAUCCAACACUAAGCAGGUUUUGAUCAAUGUCAGGCACAUAUAAAACAUUAGUAAUAUACUUCAAACCUAUUAAGCUUUCUAUAGCCACAGUUCCUUCCUUUACCCUUAACUGAAAUAAAUUCACCAUUUCCAAUUUUUACCUUGGAGAUAAUAGUUUUAUCAAGCUCCUUAAAGAGCUCUUGGUCAUUGGUCAUGUGGUUUGUGCAGCCACUAUCAAUCAACCAAGAAUUGCUAGAGUUGUUACUUGUUGUGAAGCAUGUUGCAACAAAAAGUUGCUCUUCUUGAUGUUGCUUAGUAGAAGCUGUAGGGACCCCUCCCUCCGAGAACACGUGGCACGCAUCUUACAGUGACACGUGGCACGCAUCUUACAGUGACACAUGGCACGCAUUGUCAUCCGGGUCAUCCUCAUCCGGAUCUUCCUAUAAAGCACACAUGGCGCACUUUUUAUCUGGACUGCCUCAAGGAAGGGCAAACGACGCUUACAAAGCAUAGACAUUCGGACGGCUUCCAUUAAUGCGUCCGCUCCACAAUACAUCCGGAUAACCAACAUGGACUAUCCGGAUAUGAUUGUCCGGAUCAUUGACUAAAGUAAAGCGAGUCUUACACGCUAUCACAACAACCAACCAUGGCCCACGUCCCAUCACCUGCAGAGUGAAAGGACGGGUUGAGGUGACAACAAGUCACUUCCCACGAUCGUUCUAGAUGAUCACUUCCUACGAUCUCUGAUAGCCGCAUCACCUACCACGGUUUCUGACAGCCGCCCGUAGGGUGGUGAUGACCCUGCUGCCAUCUAAAUAUCAUCAUGACAACAUGAAAUAUCUCCCCACCAUUAAUGAGAGGAACAAUACUCCUGGCACUAUAUAUAAACCUUCACACGAAGAGGAAGGUAAUCGCCUGAUACCUAGAAAAAGGCCAACUGAUUUAUAUCUCCCUCUCUAACCAUGGCUAACAAAACCAUCGGAGGGUGCGUCCGGACACCCUGUCCGGAUGCCUUUUGCAGGUAUAACGACUGAAUCAAGAACCUAUUUUGGUUGAGGUCGCGGAUCCAUCCAUUUGGCAACUACGUGGAACACUAGGAGCGCGAGGUAUCAACAUAAGCUUUUGCCUCUUCAUGUUGUCGUGACUUGCAAAUCCACUCCAUGUGUCCAAUCUAACCAUAUUUCUUGCACUUGACAUCAGGCCUCCACCAACACUUCCUUUGUGGGUGAUUUGUCUUUUUGCAGUGUAGGCAAGGUGGAUAGGUUCCAUCCUUGUUUUUGUUGUUGUUGUCAGUCUUGUUGAUCUUCUUCUUAUUGUUGUUUUUCUUGUUUUUGCCUCAUCUUGAAUUUUAUGCCUUUGCUUGAAGAGCACCCUCCAUCGAUUCUUCUUUUCUUAUCAUUCUCCUUUGCUCUUGUGCCUGCAAUGCAUUCACCAAUUCUACCAAGGAUAUGCUUGACAAAUCCUGCAUAUAUACUUGAGUGUUGCAUUUACAACACACUGAAAGAGAAGUUCACCUAUAUCAGAAACUGCCACACGCACAUAGAGAUCAUGGCCGCCAUCCAAAUACGCCUCCUGAAUGUCAUUAAGAUUUUCCUCCGAAAUCAUACUGAUGGCGGUGUCUGCACGAGUCUCGACUUCAACAUAGGCAUAAGCCUGGCAGUUGUUACAGUCUCUGUUGCAGUGAUUUUCGCAUUCUUUUUCAUUUGUAGUACUGUUGAACUGUGUGUCUGAUUUUUUCACUCUCAUCAUCUCUAGCCUCAAAAAAGUGUCAUUCUUGCUGCACAGGGGUGAAAUUCUUCUACAGUCCCCCGAAAAAUCUCCACCAUUCCACUUUGCUGGAAAAUUUGGUUGGAAUCCUGGCAAACACCUGCACAAAAUCCUAUUUCUAGUACUGCAGCUGCCAAAACUUCCACAGGGAUUAUUCCCAUCGCAUCUGUCUUUUGGUUCCUUCAAAAGCGAAUACCAAGAGCCCGUCUGAUUACGGAUCUGUAGAUACUCUAUCUGGCCGGAAAAUUUCAUCACCAACCUCCUAUAAUAAAAAGAGGUUGUUGGUUGGCUACUAUUAAUGCUGGAAUUUGAUAACAUUUUGGAUAAUUCAGAAUACAUCUUAUGGUCCCAACCGGAUGUAAUGAAAUCAUCUGAUAUCCCACUCUUCCAGUAUGUAUUAGGCCCAUUCUGGAUGAUGUACAGGUUCUGUGCUACUUGAUCUUUCCUGAAAGUGAAGUUCCCCGAACCCGGGUCACUGCUGCUUUUCCAUGAAGUCAACACCAAGUUGCCAUCCAUCUUCAUACCUGGAAGAAAAGUAUCAGUUGCGUUUCCAAAGCUUUGCCACAGACUUGUUGGUAGCUGAUCAUUCUUCAGAACCAGGUUCCCGGAAUCUAUGAGCUGCGCUAGCUACCUUUUCUGUAGAUGACGAUUUCUGGAGAGGGGUUGACCAGAAAGGUCUCCCUCUUCCAUUCGAAUUCAACACGAGGUUACCAUCUUGAAUGGACAAAACUCCAGUGGAAUCAGGCAGUGGGUCGUUUCUAUUGGCUACCCACACAACGGUUUUCGUCUCCAACCUGUAAUACCAUAUACCAACAUAUCUUUGGUGACUAGACUCCCAUUAGGGGUGAAGAACCCCAAUUCAAAUGUCUUACCAACAGACAAGAGAGUUUCUCCAUCACCAUCACUGAUCGGAUCAUUCUGCCUUAUGGUAUCUCUUGCUGCACAUGUUUGAUAACAACACAACAAUGUUGGGUACAAGAUGAAGAUGGUAGAUACCAUGUGAAUUGUUGUUGACCAUGUAAUUGCAAUUCUUCUUCUUUUGAUUACUAUUAGGUAGUUAAGACUUCCCUUCUUCACUUGGAGCUGUGGUAGAGGCUGCUGCUGAAUUAAUCCCCAGUGUUUUCUGUCAACAACCAUGUCCGGUGUUGUUCCUAAUUCACAAAAAAUGGCAUAUCUCAUUGAUUUGGUAAACCAAUUCAAACAUUGAUCUGGUCAAAUUUUGUGAACUCAUUAUUACAACAUAGUACAUAAGACUUUGUUUGGGAAGUGUUUUAAAUUUUAAAAUUUGGCAUUUCUUAAAAUCUUGACUAAACACAAAGUCAUAGUUUAAAAUUUUAUCGAAUGCCUCUAAUACUUUAAAUCAAGUGAAACGUGAAUGAAAUUAACAAAUAAGAAGAAUAAGAAAUAUAGUUUCACACUUAAGUAACAACUAAUACUAUAGAGAAAUGACCACAAGCUGGAAAGUCUUGACCAAUUUGAAAAAUCAUUUGAUGUAGUUGAAAUAAUUGAAUUUUGGAUAAAAUUCAUAACUGUCUCAACAUUAUUUUUUUUCCCUUUUUAUUUUUAUUGUUUGAAUAUUCAAGAGUUAAAACCAUUCCAAUGCUCCUUUUUGCCAUGUAUAAUUAAACUGAACCAACAAUUAGGAUAAGCACGAAAAAGAAGGAACCGAGAAGAAGAUAUCAACAAUAUUAACCGGUUUUAUUAUGGGACAACUCAUGAUGUUCAUAUUGAUCUAUUAUGCACCUUUGCAUCUAGCAUUAGCUAGACUCAUACUGUCCUAGCUCUACUAUAUCUUUUAUUUCAUUUCGAUCUUCUGAAACAAUCACAAACACUUUUCAUUAUUAUUAUUAUUAUGAAUCAAAUGGGACAUAAAUGAAAUUAACAAAUGAGAAGAGUGAAAAAGGUAAUUAACAAAAUUUCAAGCUCAUCGUUGCUAAAUAUUUUAUAAAUAAAAAUUGCCCAAGAAACGAGCCUUUAAAAGUGUACCUUUAUUUAAAAAUAAAUAAAGGUAAAUUAAAGUAUUGACUUAGUACAUAAAUAUCAACACGAUUCCAAUCCAACGCAUUUUUUUGUGGGUUUUGGUUGAAUAUAAUUCUAUUUAUAUCAAAUCCGUAUCAACUUGUGUAAUAUAUUUUACUAAUAGGUUAUUUUUAAAUCAACAUACAUAACACGAAUUUGACUCAAGUUAACCUUUAUAUUUAAUAAUCAUACCAAUUAACCUAAUUAUAAUUCUAACCGUUUAAUUAAUAUUUGAUUCAUUUUAAAUUUAUUUUUGAACAAAUAGUUAAUUAAAUUAUAACUAUAUUAACUUGUAAGAUUAAUUAUAUAAAUUUAUACAAAACUUAACUCAAUUAAAAAUUUGAUUUAAAUGAGUUAAAUAAAUUACAAAACAUGUUAUUUGUUUAAUAAUUACAUUGUAUUUAGGUUUAUGUUUUUUACUUUAUUAAUAUCAUUAUUAUGAUUGAGUCAACCUAUUUAGUAGAAUGUUUUAGUCUUGAUAUCACACAAAUUGUCAUCCCUAUCUCUAAUCUUGUCAAACAAAUAGUUUGAAGGACAUAUUUUUUUAACUAAAGAAAAUUAUUACCUUACAUAGAGUUUUAUUAAAAAAAAAAAAAAAAAAGCCAAAUAAAAAAAUGUAAUUAAAAAUAAUUAGAAAUUUAUGCAUUUUCAAAUUAUUUAAUAAAUUUAAAGAAGUGAAAUGGAUUUAAAUUGACUUAUAAAAAUAAGUUAUCAACUUCAAAUUUUUUUCCUUUCUAAUUUUUUUUAAAAUUUUUUUCCCUCACAUUUUUUUUCAUAGUUAUAGGAAACAAACAUAACCUAAUUAGGAUCCUACUAUCAUGUUUUUUUAUUCCCAAAAGUUUUUGGGUCUAACCUUUUUCUAAACUUAUUUCAAAGGGCAUCUAUAACACAAGAUAUUAAGUGUGCUUGCUCGACAUGUAGUCUUUCAUUGAUUUCCUUUUCGAUUAAAAACUUUUAGACAAGUCAGAUAUAUAGUUUUUGCUUUCUUAACAGAAACCAAAGUCUAAGUCUUUGCACAAAAUCCUAAUCAAAGAGAUCUUUUAGAAAUCUUAUUGGAAGAGAAUUUAAAACCAGAGUGGUGACAAAAGCACACGAACAAAUAAAAUUGGACAAAGAAAUUAAGCAUCUCGAUGAGUUGAUAAAUAUCUUUGUCAAUACUUCUACUUGAGAGAGAAAUACAUUAGAUUUCUACACUUUUGAAUAGUUGCCUUGAGUGACUCCAAUUAUUGGAAGCCAAGGUCAAGGUCGUUGAAGUUUGUCCAUUUUUUCCCCUUGGUCCCACAUUAUUUGCUUCUCCUUAAUUUCCUCCGGUUUGGGAAAAGGACAUUCACACGGUUUGGUGUAGGAACCACCCUUUCCUUUAGUAUCCAUGAUUACUUUUCUACCCAAUAAUGAGGAAAACAUUUAUGAAGGCCCCAUGUGAGGACUAUUAUUGGUGACUCUAGAAAUAGAGCUAUUCAAUUUCCCUCAUAAAUAGUGUAACAUCCAAAAUAAACUUUAGAGACAAAAUAGUAAAUUAUUAAUUAAUUAAACUCAUUAAAAAUAAACGAGUCAUUUUACAAUUAAAAAUCGUAUCAAUUAGAUUUUCAGUUUAUCUUCUUUAUUUAGAAAACUUUAUUAACAAAAAAUCAAAGAAUUGAAGAACGUAAGGUUAAAGAUUUGGAAGUCUAUAGUUUGAAGUUCAAUUAUUUUUUUUCAAGUAAGAUUCUAACCCUAGAUUAAUAUAUUAUAUUCAUUAGUUAGUUUUGACUGUGUUAGAUAUUUUUAGAAAAUUUUAAUUUAGAUUAUAAUUAGUUUAUUUAAUUUAUUUUAAGAUAUAAAAAAUUGAAAUUAUGAAUGUUGUUUCAUUGAUGAAAAUAGAGAAAUUCAAAAUUUUUUUAGAUGAAUAAAUCUAAACAAUGAAAUUUAAAAAAAUUAAAUGAUUAAAUAAGUAUAUGAUUAUAUGUGGCUUAAGGGAUUGAAAAAUAAUAAAAAGAAGAAUAGCAUGUUUUUGGAUUUUGGAUUUGAGGAACUUUUUAAUAAUAAAAAUAAUUAAGGUUUACUAUUAAUAAGAAUAAUGAUAAUAAUGAUAAUAAUGAUAAUAAUGAUAUUAAUAAUAAUAAGAAGAAGAAUUGUGUGAAGAAUAAUUUCAUUUUCAACGUAGAAAUGUGAUUGUCAAGGCCUCAGUGAAGAGAACGGUAACGGACCCUGCUGUAAACGACGAUGGGUCACGAGCAAACGGUGAAAUUGCGGAUGAACCCCACAACUGUAAAGUGCUUUUGACGCGUAAUGGGUUCCACCACUACCAUUAUUGGGGAAUAUUUCUGGUGGAUGAAAAGCCGCUUUUGGGUUCACGGUUGACUCAUUAAAUCUCCUACCUAUCUCUGAGUUUGUCAACUGAGACCACCGAGUUUUAUUUAUUUAUUUAUUUUUUUCUUUUCCUCGGUUCAAUUUUUGUUUCCAAUACGAGGAAAAGGGCUUUCAAGUCUGACACGUGGAAAGUCAGUGGGCAUCAUAAUUUUGUUACAUUUUUAGGGUUUGUUGGAGCUGCAAUAGGGACAAUAAUUUUUGUAUGGAUAAGCUACAAAUCAGAUAUCGAAUCUAAAACAAAUGUUUAAUGGUGCAACUAAAAGAUGUUUUUUCAAACAUUUUAUUUAUAUUUUUUAUGUGAAAUAUGUUUUUUUUUCUCCCAAAGAAUAGAAAACUAUUUUUAAAAAAAUGUUAUUAACAAAAUCUAAGUAUAAAAUCAAUUAAAAACAAUGAGAUUUUUUUCUUAAAAUUUUCUAUGAUAAGAUAACAUUAGAAUGACACUAUUAGCAAAAUAAAAAUUUAAAGCUAAAUAUACAUUCCUACAAUGUGAAUAAUUAAAUAGCACACAAUCUAAUAUAAUUAUUUAAUUUAUUUCUAAAUUAGAUAUUAUUUAAUUAAUUACCAAAAUUUAGAAAAAAAAAAAAUCAAACUCAAAAUUAAAGAGAACCUAAAUUUUUUUAAAAAAAAUUAUUUAAUAAAAUGUCAAAUACAAAAUUACCAAAAAAAAAUUAACAUUAUUAGAAAAGUUAUAAUAAAAUUAAAAUUUACAUUUAAUGCAAGAAAGAAAAAUAAAUAAAAUGUUGAAUGCAUGAAAAAAAUUAAAUUGAACUUUUAAAACUCAAAAUUAAAUUUAUGGGGUUUCUAUUUUAUUUUUUAUUAUUCGAAAACCUUAUUUAUAUCUAUGAGAUUUUUUAGGGAACUCGCCCAUCUACUGGCUUGGUCAAUGUAAUAUAAACUUCUUUUAAUCAUAUAAAUGUAUUUUAAAAUCAUGAAUAUUGAUUGUGCUCAAAGUAAAUAAUAUCGUAAAUACCUAUUCUGUUCAAAGUGGAUAAUAUCUACAUAAGAAAGAGCAAAUUAUUAUAAAUGAUAUUAAAAUCAAUCCUUGAAUAUGCGAGACUACCUAAAUGGUCUUAGAGGGAUGUUUAUGUGUUUGACCUUUGCAUGGUAUAAGUAAUGAUAUCUAUCUUAUCACCGACCAAUCAUGAAAUAUGAUAUAAUAUCCAUAUUUUAUCUUAUUUUAUACUAUAUCCGGUUAACCAAACAUGACCUAAGGUUAAUUGUUGUAACUAGUCAAGUUUUAGCCAUGACGGAUGCAUACUCAAUCAUGGUAUUAUCUCAGCCUUUUGGGCUUCCAGGACUGGUCCUUUAAAUUUGGGCUCAAACCCAACCUAAUGGAAGAGGGCCUUAACUCAGUUCAUGGGCCUGUCUAGCCUGCCGCGCUGGUUUCCAACUGGCUCGACCCAGCCUAGACUAGGGGUCGUGCCCGUCCACUAUAUUGUUAUAAUUUUUAUAGGAUCAUAGGUGAUUUAUUCUUUGAAUUUUAUAGUAAAGAGACAAAGCUUGAUAAUAAGAAUUUGGACAUUGUCUAAAAAAUUUUAAGGGUGUUUAGCAUCUAAAUUUUGAGAAUUUCUUUGGCUAUAAAAAAAUUUGAGAAAAACUACAAAGAAAAUAAAAUAAAGAAAAAAAGUAAAAAGGAAAAAAAAUGAUGAAAAAUAAUGAAUAAAUUUAAAGUUCAUGCGAUAUUUUUAUAUGUUAUUUAAAAAAAAUUAACUCUUAUAUAUAAAGGUUGAAUAAUUUGAAAAUAUAUAGAUUUCUAAUUAUAUUAAAUUUUCUUACAUAUUUUUAAUGAUAAAAUCAAAUAUGAAAUCAAACAUGAGAAUAUAAUUUUUCUUAAUAAUUUUUAUUUUUAUUUUUUUAACAUUUUUCUUUCUUUUUAUGAUACAUACUCUUAAGUCUAAUCCAAUGAGGUAGAGGUAGUUGUACAUAUAAGGUCCAACUAAUGUUGGUUGAUGUGGGACAUUGAACUUUCGUCUGUCCUAUGUAGUGAACCUACAGAACGAGCAUCCCUAUUCAAUUGUUAAUACUCAAGUCUAGGGUGGGCUAAACCAAAUCUUAUCAUGAUAUCAAAUUAUAUGAGGCCACAUACACUCUCAUGAAAAGCCUAAGCUAAUGGGGUAAAGGUAGCUCCACGUAGAAAACCUAACCAACAUUAGUAAUCAAUUGAAAUGGGACAUUAGACUUUUGUGCUUCCUACUUAACAUUGUUUGAGUUUCUAACAAGGUAAACAACCCUAUUCAAAUAUUUAAUUAUUAGUAGAUCAAGAAUUUGUUAGGUAUUGAUUUUAGGAAUCAUUUCUAAUAUUUUUAGCACUUGGAAAUUUUUAUUAAAAGAGUUAUUUUCUAGUAUUAGAAAUACUAGAAAUGAUUCCUAGAAACCCUAUUCAUUUUAUUUUUUAUUUUUUUUGCUCUUUCUCUAUAAGAGCAAUAUAAAGAGAAUACAACAAGAAGGUAGAUAUUGUUGACAAGAAAGGGAAUAAUUUGUAUAAUGGAAUCUGUAUACACAAUUGCUUUCUUUAAAUGCUUAUAACCCAUAUAUGAUCUAAAUUUGUCUAGAAAUGUCUAAGGAAAGUUGACCUUAUAGAGUAGUAAUCUGCUCCCUUUAGUUAUGCCUGUAACGUAGGGAUUAUACAACUCAUGUCCACACUCUCCCUCAAGUUGGUGCAUAGAUGUCGUUGAUGCCCAACUGCAUACCAUCUUAGUGAGGAUGUCUGCUAGUUGGUCUUCUGAUUUGAAAAAUGGGAAUCAGAUUAUAUUAACUUCUAAGUUUUUCUUGAUAAAAUGUCGGUCUACUUCCACAUGCUUAGUUCAAUCAUGUUGGACUAGGUUAUAAGCAAUAUCAAUGGCUGUCUUGUUAUCACAAAGCAAGUUCAUCUCGCAACAAGGAGAAUAGCCAAUUUCUAUCAAUAAUCUUCUCAGCCAGAGUAACUCACACAACCCCUUAGCCAUUCCUCGAAACUCCGCCUCUGCACUAAAUAGUGCUACUGAUUCGUGCCCGAUUGGUGUUCCAAUUGAUUCAACUCAAUUGAUGUGCUUUGAUCUCAAUCCUCAAACGGGAGUAAUCAACAAAAUUUAUAAACCUAUUUCACCAUAUACUGGGGUAGCAUUUAGCUAGCAUAGUAUAGUGGCUCUAGGAUCGUCCACAGAGAUGGGUUUUUACAUCGCAAUUGAUAUUAGUUCAAAAAUUGAAUUGGUACUUUUUCUUUUCUUUGUUAGCUUUAAAAGAAGACAUAAGUUUGAAUGAAAACGGAUGGUAUUAAGCUAACCUAACAUAAAGUAACUGAUUUUACUUACAAAGAAAAGUGUUUCUUGGAGUUUUAGAUCACUAGGCUCAGAUUCCUCAUACAAAAAGGGAGUUCCGGUCACUUGCUUCUUUUCCUCGCAUUAGAGAAUUAACAUAUAGUUAAUUCUCUAACCGGUGUGGUACAGAUGCUUCCCAUUAAUGGGUUCAAACACUAAAUUUCUCUCACUGAUGCACCUUGCAAUGGGCUCAUACCUCUCACCAAGCACUUUCCAUUCAAGGUGAUCUUUAACCUUGGAUUACCCGUCAAAAGCGAACAAGAGAUAACAAUUAGACCUCCAUGGAGCAAGAUUGCAAGCAAUAAGAAUCCAUGGAAUUCGAAAGCUUACCAAAUAUUGGCUAUUCUAGAAAAUCCUACCUUCAAACCACCUACCAAAAGCUCGCAAGAGAUAAACUAGUGCAUCUCUAUGGACGGAGAUCACUUGCCUUACCAAGUGUUAGCUCAGGUGAAUUGAAGGCGUUUUAAGUUAACUAAAAAGAUAAAAACCAUUAACAGGUCACACUUUCUCUUCAUUAAAAACUAAAACAACAAAACUUCCAAUUUAUGCAUGUGGAAACUUACCCGGCUUUCCUCACUCCAAGAGACGAAGAGCCUAGCCUCUCAUCCUCUGAGGAAAAAUCCUCAGAGUUUGGUUGGCUAGAAAGAAAAAGAAAAUGAAAAUGAAAGAGAAGGAAAAACAAAGCAAAGCUCUGUAUAUUCUAUAUACUUAUAUAUCUAUAUCUUUUACAAUGGAUGCAAGGGAAUAUAUAUAGAGAAGUUUUUCCAACCUUCCUAUCUAAGAAAUCUUAUGGUUGGUGGAUUACAAGGAGAAGAAUGGAAAUUUAUACAAAAAUAUCUUAAGAAAAGAUCUAAAAGAGUUGGUGCACAAAUAUCCCAGUUCGCAUGUAGAUUUCGCACGUUGCAUGGUGACUUGCGAAAAUCUCGCAAGUUGAUUUCGCAACUUGGAAUCCAUUUUCGCACGUUGAGCUCCAAGUUCGCAAGUUGCAAAAUCACUUUCGCAAGUUGGGUUUCUCUGUGACUGUGCGGCUGUAUUCCAUUUCCAUUUCGCAAGGUAGGCUUUAAUUUCGCACGUUGGAGUUCCAAAUUCGCAGAUGCGAAUUGUCCUUCAACUGGGUGUAUUUGUCUUGNNNNNNNNNNNNNNNNNNNNNNNNNNNNNNNNNNNNNNNNNNNNNNNNNNNNNNNNNNNNNNNNNNNNNNNNNNNNNNNNNNNNNNNNNNNNNNNNNNNNUAAAAACCAUUAACAGGUCACACUUUCUCUUCAUUAAAAACUAAAACAACAAAACUUCCAAUUUAUGCAUGUGGAAACUUACCCGGCUUUCCUCACUCCAAGAGACGAAGAGCCUAGCCUCUCAUCCUCUGAGGAAAAAUCCUCAGAGUUUGGUUGGCUAGAAAGAAAAAGAAAAUGAAAAUGAAAGAGAAGGAAAAACAAAGCAAAGCUCUGUAUAUUCUAUAUACUUAUAUAUCUAUAUCUUUUACAAUGGAUGCAAGGGAAUAUAUAUAGAGAAGUUUUUCCAACCUUCCUAUCUAAGAAAUCUUAUGGUUGGUGGAUUACAAGGAGAAGAAUGGAAAUUUAUACAAAAAUAUCUUAAGAAAAGAUCUAAAAGAGUUGGUGCACAAAUAUCCCAGUUCGCAUGUAGAUUUCGCACGUUGCAUGGUGACUUGCGAAAAUCUCGCAAGUUGAUUUCGCAACUUGGAAUCCAUUUUCGCACGUUGAGCUCCAAGUUCGCAAGUUGCAAAAUCACUUUCGCAAGUUGGGUUUCUCUGUGACUGUGCGGCUGUAUUCCAUUUCCAUUUCGCAAGGUAGGCUUUAAUUUCGCACGUUGGAGUUCCAAAUUCGCAAGAUGCGAAUUUGUCCUUCAACUGGGUGUAUUUGUCUUGUGAAAGCCAUAUCUUCCUCAUUUCAGCUCCAAUUCGUACACUGUUUGAAGCGUUGGAUUCUUGACUUCCUGAGCUUUGAAAUGGUAUAUAGCAUGUAGAAAAUGGACUUCGGGAAGUGCUCCAAAAGUGUGAAAGAAGACUGAAGCUGCUGUCCUCUAUUUUCUUCACUCUAUUUUUCCUCUCUCCGUUGUUCUUUCCUUGCAUACUUUGAACGAAUUUGGCAAAGGGCUAUGGAGCUCCAAAGCUUGGUUCUUCAUGAAUUUGAGCUUCCAAAAGCUUUGCCAUGAACUAUAUACAGCUCUCCCUCAUUCUUGGAUUGCUUUGGUGUAGCUAAAAGCUAUCAAAAACACCAAAACUUAACACAAUUUGCUUAGAAACGAUUGCAAGGGUCCUUAACAUGUCAAUUGAGUUAAAAGGUAAUAAUUACUACUCAAGAGUGUUUAAAAGAGUUAAUUACAAGCUACAAAAUAGCACUUUUUGAGUAGUAAUCAGCUACUACUUUAUGUUUUUUUUACUUCGACAUGUUUUCAAGUUUCUCCAACAAAUGUGAGGUAACCUGAUGUGGAUUUCCUAUCGGAGAUAUUUCUUGCCCAAUCAACGUCGAUAUACCCUAUAAUUUCCAGGUACCCAUUCUUUGAGAACAUAAUUCUCUUCCCUAGGGUUCCCUUAAGGUAUCUUAAAAUUUGAGUCACUACAUUCAUAUGAUCUUCACUAGGGCAAUGCAUGAACUGAUUCACUACACUGACCGCAUAGACAAUAUCAGGUCGGGUAUGUGAAAGAUAAAUUAGUUUUCCAACCAAUCUCUGAUAUUUGCCUUUAUCAGUGGGAAUCUGGUCAGGGUAUUCUCCAAGCCUAUGAUUCUAUUGUAUUGGAACAACUGUCAGUUUACAGUCUAGCAAUCCAACUUUUGAUAAUAGAUCGAGAGUAUACUUUCGUUGGGAAAGAAAGAUACCUCGUUUAGAUUGAGCCACCCGAAUUCCUAGAAAAUAUUUCAACCAACCCAAACUCUUUAUUUCAAACUUUGCUGCCAACUGUUUUUUAAGUUUCGCAACUUCCUCGGUAUCAUUACAUGUGAUGAUCAUAUCAUCUACAUACACUAUUAGUGUUGUUACCUUGCCUUGUCGACGCUUUAGAAAUAGAGUGUGGUCAUAAUUGCUUUGUUGAAACCCAUACUUUCUCAUUGCUAGGUUGAGGCGUCCAAACCAAGCUUGUGGAGACUAUUUCAAGCCGUACAGGGUGGGCCACAGUUUACACACUGUCUUGCCAGACGUUUCAAUGUACCCAUGGGGAUAUCCAUAUAAAUUUCUUCUUCGAGGUCACUAUGGAGGAACACAUUCUUUACAUCAAAUUGGAGUAGCGACCAAUCAAGAUUCACUACAAUAAAUAGAAGGACUCUUAUAGUGUUCAACUUGGCUACAAGUGAAAAGGUCUCCAUAUAGUCAACUCCAUAAGUCUACGUAUAUUAUUUCGCUACAAGCCUCACUUUUUAGCACUCAAUUGACCCAUCCACCUUGUAUUUGAUGGAGAAUACCCAUUUGCACCCCACUAUCUUGUGGCAUUCUAGUAAAGAGACAAGAAUCCACGUCUUGUUUUUCAACAAUGCUUCCAUUUCUUCCUUUAUUGGUUGGACCCACCUAGGGUCUUGUAGAGCCUCCUCUAUGCUUGUUUGAAUGUGAUGCGCUGAUAAUGCAUUAGAAAAGCUCUUUAAGGGUUCUGAGAGCUUCUUUGUUGAGACGUAAUUGGCAAUUGGGUACUUUGAUUUGUGUGUCUCAAUAUUUGGAGAAUAGCAUUUUGGUAGUUUGCCAUGAUUGUGCUUGGGAGGUAACUAAUAACCAUCGUCAGUUAAAUGUUUUGUGGCAAGAGGAAAACUUACCUUAGGAACCUCUUCAGGAAUAUUCUCAGAAGUUGGGUCAUGAGGUACUUUAGAAUGAGGGGGUGUCUCAGGAAUUGGAGUUGGUGUCUCAGUAGUCAGCAUUGGUGGCUCUGUAGCUAUUCCAUAUCCAUGGUAAUUGGUGGCUCUGUAAUCAGUGGGAUGUCUGGGAUGUCUUUGAACCAAUUCAACUCUUCAUCGUGUGUCUUCCCCUUAAGAGAAGAAUUGGAUGGAUGAUAGAACAUCUCAGACUCGAGGAAUGUGACAUCCAUAGUAACAUAGAGCCGCAUGUUUGUUGGAUCAUAGCACCAGUAACCUUUUUUAUUGGUGGCAUAGCCUAGAAAGAGACAACGACAAGCACAAGGAUCGAGUUUAGUGCGCUGGUUGCAGUGAAGAUGAACAUAGACAACGCAUCCAAAGGUUCGGGGAAGAAGCGUCGUAGUCGAAAGUACUGAUAUACUCGAGGCUAAGGCCUAUAGAGGUGUUUUGAAAUCCAGAAUUUGGAAUGUCAUUCGAUUAAUGAGAUGCACAAUAAUUGUAACCGCAUUAGGCCAGUAAGGACUAGGUACAUGCGCACUUAAUAGGAGGACACGUGUGGUCUCGAGAAUAUGGCGAUUCUUACGUUCUACUACACCGUUUUGCUCUGGAGUAUGAGGACACGAGGUUUGAUGUAUCAACCCAUGUUGGUGGAAGUACUUCUGGAAUUGUCGAUUGAUGUAUUCAGUGCCAUUAUCAAAGGGAAAAACUCUGAGUUUGGCAGAAAAUUGGGUUUGAGUCAUUGUGUGAAAAGAGUAGAAGACAGUAAAAACCUCAUCUUUGUUUGUCAGUAGGUAGAGCCACAUCAUUCAAGUGCAAUCAUCAACAAAGAGAACAAAUCAGCGAUAACCCGAUAGAGUAGAUUUUAGGGAUGGUCCCCACACAUCAGAAUGAAUUAAGCUAAAAGGUACAUCACUCUUAUUCUUAUGUAAAUGAUAAAUUAUCCGGUGACUUUUGGCCAAAAUACAAGUUUCACAUUGAAAAUCUGAGAUAGAGAAAUCAGAAAAUAAACUAGGUAGUAAAUGCUUCAAAUAUCCAAAUGACGGAUGGUUGAGUCGUCGAUGCCAAAGUCAGAUCUGUUCUAUUCUAGAAUCACCCGACUAUCCCACAUGAUGAGUUUGUCCCAUUUUUAACAGAGCCAUGUUAAAAAUCUCUUAUCUUUCUUUAUUUUCAUGUGUUUGGUUUGGUUAAUGCAGGAGAUCUCCAUCCAAUCUGCAUUUCGCUUAACCAUCCGACAUCAGAAAAUGGAUACAAACUAGAAGUACUUUGCCCUUCCCUACUAUGCAGCCGCUUGUCACCAAAAAUGGCAAGUCCUGGUUGAACUCCAGAAGUCUGCUCAUGGGUGAAAUUCAUCUACAUCCCCAAAAAAUCUCCACCAUACCACUUUCUUGGAAAAUUUGGUUGGAAUCCUGGCAAACACUUGCACAAAAUCCGAUUUCUACUAUUUCAACUGGCAAAACUCUCACUGGGAUUAUUCCCACUGCACCUAUCUUUUGGUUUCUGGAAAAGCGAAUACCAAGAGGCCGUCUCAUUACGGAACUGUAAAUGUUGUAUUUUGCCGAAAAAUUUCAUCACCAACCUCCUAUAAUAAAGAGAGGUUGUAUCUUGAAAGUCAUAAUCAUAUCCUCCAAGUGAGCUUUUUCUUUUAUCAUCACUGAUAAUGGUAGAUCAAAACCAAACUAGAGCACUGAUGAAAAGAUUGAAAUUGCAUUGGGUUCUUUUAAGAUUGAAGAAGAGAACAGUGGAAAAGGCAUUAUGGGUAAAAGAAUUGUCAAACUUGCAAGAUUUGUUUCUAUUUCUUUUGGUCAUUGGUCAAGUAGUCAUUACUUUUUUAUUUUUUAUUUUAUUUUUAUUUUUUAAAAUCAACUCUUGAUUCAAUGAUUUCACAAUGCAUGUAUCAAUUGGAUGAUGAUUCUUGAAUUAGAAAUUUCCUUCCACACAAUAUGAUUAUAAAUAAAUACACAAGAAAAAUGAGCAACAGUACUACCAAAGAAUCAAACAGUUUUAGGUCUACUUCGUCUUGCGGCCUUAAGGCAAAAAUAUAGAAAAUAAGAUGGGAAGUUAGUGAUUUACAAUUGGUGUAGAGAACAAUCGAAUAGAUAUUCAUGAAAUCAAUUUACACUAAAACACACCUGUGAUUAUGUCCUAAGAAAUCCAAUUCUGAUGCAACAUAUAUGAAGUUGAUAACACCAACAAACAAGACUGAACUUAUGGCUGAUUCUCCCUAACUAUCUACCUUCUUCUAAGCUGACAGUUAUCUCAUUGUUGGAGCAUGUUUUCGGAUUGGUGGAAGAGGAAGGAGCUAAGCUGGGCGGCCCUCUUCUCACAACAAAGGCUGGUUGCUAGGGUAUUGGAAGUGUGGCUAUCUCACUAUUGAGCAUGAGAAAUGCAUUGGGCAAGGUGGGGCGAUCACUUGGGUCUUCUUGUACACACAACAACCCAACAUUUACACACCUCAAGAAUUCAUUAGUGUUGCAUGUUUCACUUAGUGUCUGGUCCAUCAAAUCAUACACCUUGUCUUCUUUCCACAAUCUCCAUGCUUGGAACAAUUCUCUUGAUAUUAAAAUUAGAUUUGCUAAAGUAAAAUGAUAGGUUGGGCAAUCAUAUCAAUUUGAUAUAUAAUAUAAAGAUUUUUUUUCUAGGGGAGGUCAUCAAUUCAAACCUCAUUGUUUGUUUAUUUUCUUUAUUUACUAAGCUUACAUGCAAAUCUAAAGAAGGCCACUUGUGAGAUAAUGUUGAAUGACAUGUCCUAGGAGCUGCUGACAUGGAGCUAAGUAGAAUGAAGUGGAAGUAGUUAAAAUAAGUUAGUCAUGUGGAAGAUUUACCUAUUCCUUAGGAAGUAUUUGUUGGUUUGUUUUUAUUCUUUAGGAAGUAUCUAUAGGUAGCAUGUUUGUUGCUAUUUUUAUGUUUUUCUGUUUUAAGCUAGCUGUAUAAAUAAGUGCUUUGAAGCUUAAUAAAAUAUAACUUCAGAUUCCUCAACAUUAUGUUGCUUCUUGAGAGUUUCUACCCUUUGUUUUUAUCAAAACCUACAAAUUGGUAUCAGAGUUGUUGUUAUUGAGUAACCUGUGAGGUGAGUGAGCCUAUACACCACCAUCUACCCUAUCCAAAACAAUAUCCAUGUUGUUCUUGAGUAACCUGUGAGGUGAGUGAGCCUAUACACCACCAUCUACCCUAUCCAAAACAAUAUCCAGAAUGACCUCAGAAGCUUCACUGAAUGCAUUGGCACCUCCAGUGUUUGAUGGAAUAAAUUAUCAACUGUGGGUUGUCUGUAUGGAAGCCUACCUUGAUGCUAGUGAUCUGUGGGAAGCUGUUAGUGAGGAAUAUGAAGUUCCUCCCCUGUCCGACAAUCCAACUAUGGCUCAGAUAAAACUACACAAUGAGAGGAGGCAAAGGAAAUCAAAGGCAAAAGCUAGUCUAUUUGUAGCUGUCUCAUCUACAAUUUUCACCAGAAUCAUGGCAUUGAAGACGAAAAAUGAAAUAUGGAACUUCCUGAAGAAGGAAUAUGAAGGAAAUGAAUGAGUCAAAGGUAUGCAAGUGCUGAACCUGAUUAGAGAGUUUGAGAUGCAAAGGAUGAAAGAAUCAGAAACAAUCAAGGAUUACUUAGACAGACUUCUUAGUAUUGUUAACAAAGUAAGACUUCUUGGUACUGACUUUUCUGAUUCUAGAAUAGUUCAAAAAAAUUUUAUAACAGUUCCUGAAAAGUUUGAGACUACAAUAUCAUCUCUAGAAAACUCAAAAGAUGUGUCAAGUAUCACCUUGGCAGAGCUGUUGAAUGCAUUACAGGCUCAAGAACAAAGGAGGCUUAUGAGACAAGAAGAAUAUGUGGAGGGUGCAUUUCAGGCCAUAUCUCAGUACAAGAAAGAAAUGCAAAGCAACAAUAACAGCAGCAACAACACUCAAAAGUUUCCACCAUGUCCUUACUGUAAAAAAUCCAAUCAUCCACAAAAAAAGUGUUGGUGGAGGUUGGAUGUAAAAUGUCACAAGUGUGGUCAGCUAGGGCAUGUGGAAAGAAUAUGCAAAUCUCAACAGCAGCUAGGAGAAGUCAAGGCUGCUGUGGAAGAACUUCAAGAUGAGCAACUGUUUGUGGUAUCAUGCUUUUUCACUAGCAGCUCCCUAGAAACUUGGCUUAUAGACAGUGGUUGUACAAACCAUAUGACUUAUGAUCAAGGGCUCUUUAAGGAACUUGACAAAACUGUUACUUCCAAAGUUAGAGUUGGAAAUGGAGCAUAUCUUGCAGUAAAAGGCAAAGGCACCAUGGCAAUUGAAGGCCACACAGGUUUGAAAUUAAUCUCUAAUGUCUUAUAUGUUCCUGAGAUUAAUCAAAAUUUGCUGAGUGUUGGUCAGCUGUUGGAAAAAGGCUAUAAGGUGUUGUUUGAGGACAAUCAUUGCAUGAUUGCUAAUGGACAAGGCAGAGAGGUAUUUAUAAUCCAAAUGAAAGACAAAAGCUUUGCCUUGGAUUUGAUGCAAGAAGAGCAAGUUGAAAUUCACAAAGAAAAAACAAUACAAUGCUUUGGCAUAGGCGUUUGGGGCACUUUCAUCAUACCGCCCUGCUCUUUAUGAAGAAGAAGGAUCUUGGAAAAGGCUUGCCUGAAUUAGAGGUGAAGCCUCCUACUUGUGUAGCUUAUCAAUACGGGAAACAAACAAGACUUCCUUUCCCACAAAACAAGGCCUAGAGAGCUACUCAGAAAUUGCAGUUAGUACACACUGAUGUGGAAGGACCUCAAAUAACACCAUCACUAAAUGGCAGUAAGUUCUAUAUUGCUUUCAUUGAUGAUCACACAAGAAUGUGCUGAAUUUAUUUCAUGAAAUUUAAAUAUGAAGUUGCUAACAUCUUUUGGAAGUUUAAAGCUUGGGAUGAAAAUCAAAGUAAAUGUAAAAUGCAAGUGAUCAGGUCUGAUAAUGGAACUGAAUACACCUCGGAGAAAUUUAACAAAUUUUGUGAAGAUGCAGGCAUUGAGCACCAGCUUACAACACCUUAUACCCCUCAACAGAAUGGAGUCGUUGAGAGGAAAAAUAGAACACUUAUGGAAAUGACAAGGUGUUUGCUGCAUGACAAAUGGCUGCCAAAGAAAUUCUGGGCUGAGGCUGCACAUACAUCAAUCUUUCUGCUGAAUAGACUGCCAACAAAAGCUUUGCAACAAAAUACUCCAUUUGAAGCAUGGUAUGGCUAUAAACCAAGGCUACAAAAUUUAAAAACAUUUAGUUGUCUUUGUUUCUCUUAUAUUCCACAUGUUAAGAGAGACAAAUUGGAUAAAAAAGCUGAAGUUGGGAUCUUUAUAGGCUAUAGCUCAAUAUCAAAGGCCUAUAGAAUCUACCUUCCAGAAAAUAACAAAGUGAUAGUUAGCAAAGAUGUCAAAUUCUUUGAAUCAGAAAGUUGGAGUUGGGAGAAUGAUAAGAAGCUUGAGUUUAAAGAGAAUCUUGAGUUCCAAAAGGACCUUGAGUUUCAGGAGGAGCAUGACAAUAUUGAUGAUGAACCUAUCAGGGGAACCAAAUCACUCUCUAACAUCUAUCAGAGGUGCAAUGUUGCUAUAAUAGAGCCUGCAGGGUAUGAAGAAGCUACAACUGAUAAAAAAUGGAUGGCUACAAUGAAGGAGGAGCUUAAAAUGAUUUUGAUGGACAAACCGACACACAAAAGGGCAAUUGGAGUCAAGUGGGUUUAUAGAACCAAACUCAAUUCCGAUGGUUCUAUAAACAAACAUAAGGCAAGACUAGUUGUCAAAGGAUAUGCUCAGAUGUUUGGGGUGGAUUUCUCUUAGACUUUUGCCCCAGUUGCUAGAUUGGACACUAUAAGAAUGUUGUUGGCUCUUGCUGCUCAAAAAGGCUGGAAUAUACAUCAGAUGGAUGUCAAAUCAGCCUUCUUGAAUGGAUACUUGGAGGAAGAAAUUUUUGUGGAGCAGCCUGAAGGUUUUAUUGUUCAAGGAAUGGAGGAGAAAGUAUAUUUGCUGAAAAAGGCCUUGUAUGGUUUAAAACAAGCACCAAGGGACUGGUACAGUAGGAUUGAUUCACAUUUGUUAGGCUUAGGCUUUACAAAAAGCCUAAGUGAAUUUACUCUAUACUUCAGGAAGGUUUGUGAUGAAACACUUGUGGUAUCCUUAUACAUUGAUGAUCUACUUGUGACAGGAAGCAGUAUGGAGCAAAUUGUUAAUUUCAAAAAGGAAAUGAAUGAUGUUUUUGAGAUGACUGAUCUUGGAAGGAUGACAUUCUUUCUUGGCAUGGAGGUACAACAAAAAUAGAAUGAGAUCUUCAUAUGUCAACAAAAAUAUGCCAAGGAAAUCCUGAAAAAGUUCAAGAUGGAAGAGUGCAAUCCAAGUGCAACUCCAAUGAAUCAAAAUGAGAAGUUUUGCAAAAAAGAUGGAGCUGCAAAAGCUGAUGAAAGGCUUUACAAGACCAUUAUUGGGCGCUUGAUGUACCUAACAGCAACUAGACCAGAUAUUAUGAAUGCAGUAAGUUUACUCUCAAGGUACAUGCAUUGUGCUAGUGAAAUUCACUUUCAAGCAGCAAAAAGAAUUGUUAGAUAUGUCAAGGGUACAAUUGACUAUGGUUUGAGGUUUUGUCAAGUUAAAAACUUUACUCUUCAUGGUUAUUCAGAUAGUGAUUGGGCAGGUUGUGUUGAUGACAUGAGAAGUACUUUAGGUUAUUGUUUCAGCUUUGGUUCUGCUAUUUUUGCAUGGUGUUCCAAAAAGCAAGAAGUCAUAGCCCAAUCCACAGCAGAAGCAGAAUAUGUAGCUACUGCUGCUGCUAUGAAUCAGGCUUUCUGGAUCAGGAAAUUGAUGGCUGACUUGUUUAUGGAGCAAAAGAAAAGCACACAAAUACUCGUAGACAACCAAGCUGCAAUUUCAAUUGCAAAUAAUCCGGUGUUCCAUGGCAAAACAAAACAUUUCAAGCUAAAACUCUAUUUACUAAGAGAGGUACAGAAAGAGGGAGAAAUACAGUUGGUCUACUACAAAACAGAAAGUCAAAAUGUUGAUAUCUUAACCAAACUACUUCUCAAAGCUAGAUAUGAGUUCUUGAGGCAAAGACUUGGAGUCUGCAGCUCCAGAGACAAGGAGGAGUGUUGAAUGACAUGUCCUAGGAGCUGCUGACAUGGAGCUGAGUAGAAUGAAGUGGAAGUAGUCAAAAUAAGUUAGUCAUGUGGAAAAUUUACCUAUUCCUUAGGAAGUAUUUGUUGGUUUGUUUCUAUUCUUUAGGAAGUAUCUAUAGGUAGCAAGUUUGUUGCUAUUUUUAUGUUUUUCUGUUUUAAGCUAGCUGUAUAAAUAAGUGCUUUGCAGCUUAAUAAAAUAUAACUUCAGAUUCCUCAACGUUUUGUUGCUUCUUGAGAGUUUCUACCCUUUGUUUCUAUCAAAACCUACAGAUAAGGUAUUGGCCCACCAUCACAUGAUAGUUUAAGCUUUGGGUUGAAUUGAUAAUUUAACAAAGAAUGACUAAAAGAUAAAUCAUCAUGAGAUAUUCAAGCCACUUACAUAACCUAAAAGGCUCAUAGCUUGGUCAGAUUGAUAAAAUCCUGUGUUCCUCUUCCCACUGAUGAUCUCAAGUACAAUAACACCAAAGCAAAAAACAUCAGAUUUUACUAAGAAAAACCCAUCUAGCACAUAUUCUGGAGACAUAUAGCCACUGCAUUACAUGGAAUGUUAAAAAGUAAUCAGUUGAUUAGGUAUAUGCCAAGGCAAAUAUCUUUCCCCAUGCAUACAAUACUUACUAAGUGCCCACUACUUUGUUUGUGUUUGCCUCUGUUUGCUUGCUCUCAAAGAUCCUGGCCAAGCUGAAGUCUGAAAUUUUGGGAUUCAUAUCCCCAUCUAAUAGAAUGUUGCUCGUCUUCAAGUCCCUGUGAAUGAUCUUCAACCUUGAAUCUUGGUGAAGAUAAAUUAGCCCUCGAGCAAUUCCCAAAAUGAUGUCGAAGCGACUCUCCCAGUUUAGUAACACGCAUAGCAUUCGAUCUUGCCCAGUUGCCAUUAGAAAGAAAAAUUUUAGUGGCAUGGUUCAUUCAGUUAGAUCCUGUCUAUCAGUUCAUGGCACGUAUGCAAUGAUACAACAAAAGUAGGGACUUGACGUAGGUUUAGAGGCAAACCAAAUAUGAAAGAGUCUAAGCUUUUGUUGGGCAUAUAUUCAUAAAGUAAAAUCUUCUCAUCUCCUUCAAUACAAUAGCCCAGAAGUCUAACCAGAUUUCGAUGCUGAAGUUUGGCAAUCAACACAACCUCAUUCUUAAAUUCCACUAGGCUUUGCCUUGAAGCACUUGAGAGUCUCUUCACAGCUGCUUCUUUCCCAUCUGGAAAUUUGCCCUAGAAGCCACAAUGCAUAUGCAUUAGACAUUGAUAAUCAGAAAUCAGUUGAAAAUAUGAGCAUUGUUUGAAAUAAGUUAUAUUACCUUGUAAACCGGCCCAAAGCCCCCUUGUCCAAGCUUAUGCGAAUCUAAAAAGUUAUCCGUAGCAGCCAGGAUGUCUUUUAAGUCGAAAAAUGGUACAUCAAUGCCUUUCUUAUCCUCAUCUUUGAAUUCCUUCAAGUCUAUUAAGUGUUUCACACGACUUUCACUAUCAUACAAGUGCAGCACAGGAUUUGCCCUGUUUCCUGAAUUAAAAAAAAAAGAAAAUAUUAUAUAGAAAACCUCUGCAAUUUUCUCAAUUUUGCCAGGUACAAUUUGAAAAGAAAAUAGCGGAAGAUCCAUGGUAGAGCUUAUGGCACAAAGAUUACCUUUCCUUUUGGUGAUGUUUCUUUUGCGCAAAUAAGCAAUAUAACCAAUGGUGCUUAAAAGCGCAACUAGAACAACAACAAUUGUUAUGCCUACCACAACUACCGGAGAUGAUAAUGACGACAUCUUAUUGCCAAGGUCUAAAACAAAGAAGAACCACUCUCAUUCAUGGAAAAGGCAAUGCAUCUAUCAUUACUAACCUCUAUGUCUUUCAUUGGAAAAUAAGUUUAAAUGACCAAAACCAAGCAAAAAGAAAGUAUUGAGUUCAACUUCUCACAUACCUAGAAAGCAAAUUUAGAAAUAUACUAGGUCUGUAGCUCACCUUGUGUAAAAUCUAAACUUGAUCCAUUUCACUUAAAUUUUUCACUGCAAAAGCACUUAGUGGUUCCAUUUUGUGUUCUGCAAUUUGAAUUAGGCCAAUCCUUGCAGUCUGCUGAUGAGGUACACACUAGCUCCAAUGGUGGAUCCCAACUGAUCUCUAUCUCAAUGCUAUUUUCCAAUGACUUCUCAGAGCCAAAAUUGUCGAUUUUGACCACUGUGCAGACAUUGGUCAUGUGAAAAGGCAGGUUUAGUGGUGGAAUUUUGUUGAUAAGACUUCGAGAACUGCAAUCUAAUUCUUUAAGUUAGAUUACAAAUGUUAAUGUCUCUAGAUUAAUGCUAGUUACCCGAUAGGUGCCACCAAGUACCUUGAACUGAACCUGGCCCGUGGUAAUGUUGCAUUCAAAAUUAAAGUACAUGGGAUCACCACACUUUGAUCCAGUGCUUAGAGGAUAAGGAAUCAUGAUUGAGCCACAAGCUUGACAAUUUCUUAUUGUUGAUUCUGCAAAUAAAAUGUAGAAUCCCUUGUUAAAGGGUAUUUCUUCCGAUUACAGUUUCUUCCUAAUGUCUAUAAAUGGAUUUAUGCUUGUGUUGAUCAAUAAACUAAAACAUGAGGUACUUCUUCUCAAGAAAAGGGGAAAAAGAAAUUGGAAAGGGACAUACCUAUAUCUGAAAUAGAUACACGAACAAAGAGAUUGUCAGCAUCAGAGUCAUACUCCUCCUGAAGACCACUAAGGUCGUCUGUCCAAAUCAAGCAUUCUGGGUUAUUGCCCCUUUAUGUUAUUUAGUUUGAGCAUAAUGUCACGGACUUAGUCGUUCACUAAGCUCUUGUGGCACUUAGGCAAGUCAAGACGCUUGAUCUUGCUAAGUCAGCCUUGCUCCCAAUGCUUAGCUUGCUAGGCUAAGACACUCACGACUCGAAAGCUUAAGAAGCUUAGUAAGCAACUCUUUAAAGGAAGCUCUUAUUAACUCAUGGAAGCCUUUACAAGUGCUUGGAAGCUCACUUGCUUGGUACCUUGGCCAAAUGAGGCCUUCACCUAUUUAUAGGCACCAAUGGAACUCUCUGGAACCUUGGAGGGUUCCUUACAACUUAAGUAUAUUCUAGAAUGUCCUACAUCAUUCUAGGUACAAGCCUAUGUACAAGGAUAUACAAGAGACUUCUGGAAUUCUCUAGAAAGCCCUGGACUCCUCUCAUGCCUUCCACCAUAGUGUAGAAUUGUGUGGAUUCCUCCAGGCUUCUCCACAACCUUCCACACUCUUCCCACUCUAGGAGUCUCCAGAAGCUUCCUGGCUCUAUAUAAGCCCAUGGGGAGGCUCAUUUGAAUCAGCUUGUGACACUCUCCUCCACCUAAGCCGCAGACGUUCUUGUCGCGCCUUCUGCCCGGAAUUGCUCAAUUUGCUCCUAUAACUGCCAUAGUGCAUCUGUUGGCUCCCAGCUAGCCUCACUUUUUGGUAGUCCUUUCCAUUUCACUAAGUAUUCCGUACCAGGAGGUACACCUCGUCUCCUGAUGACCCGAUCUACGAGAAAGUGUUCUAUCUCCUUAUCAUAGGAGAUCACGACCGUUGUAGGUGCCCUCUUAGACAACCCUCGGCUUGGAUCAUCUUUGUCUUCGUGAUAGGGUUUCAAGUAGUUUACGUGGAAGACAUGAUGAAUCUUCAACCUUGGCGGUAGCUUAACUCUAUAGGACACCUUGUCGACAUUCCCAAGUACGGGGAAGGGUCCUUCAUACCUCCUCAUAAGGCCCUUAUGCACUAACCUUAGGGAUUUGAAUUGUUGAGAAAUGAGCUUGAAAGCACCAUGUCUCCGACUUUGUACUCCGUGUGUCGUCGCUUCUUGUCAGCCCACUUCUUCAUUUUCUUAGCGGCCUUGUCCAAGUAUGAGCGUGAUAUGUCAGCUUGCUCGUGCCACCCUUUCGCGAACUUGAAAGCUGCUGGACUUCUCCCCGUAUAGCCUAUCGUUAGAGUGUGAGGAGUUAACGGUUGCUGCCUUGUGGCCAACUCGAAUGGGCUCUUAUUGGUUGCCUCACUCCUUUGCAGGUUAUACGAGAAUUGGGCUAUGUCUAGCAACUUAGCCCAAUCCUUCUGGUUGGCACUCAUGAAGUGCCUUAAGUAUAGCUCCAAUAAAGCGUUCACCCUCUCAGUCUGCCCAUCCGUCUGUGGGUGAAAGCUUGUGGAGAAGUGAAGCUCCGAACCCAUAAGCUUGAAGAGCUUCAUCCAAAACUUCCUAGUAAAACGCGGAUUGCAAUCACUUUAGGCAACCCCCAAUACUUGACUACGUGCUUUAGGAAUAGCCUCGUCGUCUCUUCCGCAGUGCGGUCAGUCGGGGCUGCUAUGAAGGUUGCAUAGUUAGAGAACCUGUCCACUACCACUAUGAUAGAACCGUUGUCCUCCGACUUGGGUAGCCCGAUGAUGAAGUCCAUGGUGACGUUGUCACAUGGGCGCUCUGCUAUAGGUAGUGGCUUCAACAGGCCUCUAGGUUGUUAUUGUUCCACCUUGUCUUGUUGGCACACAAGACAAGUCCUCACAUAGGCCUCUACCUCAUCCCGUAUUUGAGUCCAAUAAUAAGCCGACUCGAGUAGUGCCCUCGUGCGUCGUUGCCCAGGGUACCCAGCCCACUUGGUGUCAUGGCACUCAUUUAUCAGAUUCCGUCUUAUGUUCCCCCAUUUAGGCACAUAGAGUCGUCUCCCCUUAGUGUAGAGUAGGUCGUUCUCCACCCAGAACCGCUUAGUCUUCCCUUCAUGAGCUAGGACGAUGAGGCUCUUAGCCACUGGAUCAUGUUGCAGUCCCUCCCUUAGAAGAUCCAUUAUGUCUCCUUGGGGCUGACUCGUCAUGGAUGCUAGCUCCGUUUUACUGCUUAGGGCGUCAGCCACAUGAUUAGCACUCCCUGGCUUAUACUCCAACGUAUAGUCGAACUCAGCCAGGAAGUCUUGCCACCUAGCUUGCUUAGGACUCAACUUCUUCUGUGUUUGGAAGUAGCUAGUGGCAACGUUAUCGAUCUUCACUAUGAAGUGAGACCCUAGAAGAUAGUGCCUCCAGGUGCGCAAGCAGUGGACGAUGGCGGUCAUCUCUUUUUCUUGCACCGUAUAGCGCAUCUCUGUGUCGUUUAGCUUGCGACUCUCAAAUGCGAUCGGGUGUCUUUCUUGCAUAAGGACUCCCCCAAUAGUGAAGUGUGAGGCAUCUGUGUGUAUCUCAAAAACCUUGGUGUGGUCGGGUAGUGCUAACACCGACUCCUCAGUCACAGCCUUCUUAAGAUCUUUAAAGGCUUGUUGGCACCUUUCGUCCCAUUCUCAUGCCUUAUUCUUCUUAAGGAGAUCAGUGAGAGGAGCGGCCCUUGCUAAAUAACCUUUGAUGAAUCGCCGAUAGUAAUUAACUAAACCAAGGAAAUAUCUGAGCUAAGGUACCUUGGUUGGUGGAUCCCAUUCCUGGAUGGCUUUCACCUUGCUAUCAUCCAUCUUCAGCUUGCCAUCCUUGAUGCGAUGCCCUAGGAAGCUCACUUCUUUUUUAACAAAGGAGCAUUUUUCCUUCUUCACGUAUAGCUCGUUCUGCCUUAAGAUCUUAAAGACCUUCCUCAAGUGCUUUACGUGCUUCUUUAGGGUGUUACUGUAGAUGACUAUGUCAUCCAAGUAUACCACCACGAACUUGUUGAUUACUACUCAAAAAGUGCUAUUUGAUAGCUUAUAAUUAAUCCUUUUAAACACUUUUGAGUAGUAAUUUUGGCAUUUUAACUCAAUUGGCAUGUUAAGGACCCUUGAAAGCAAUUUUAAUCAUUUUGUGUAAGUUUUGGUGUUUUUUGUUAGUAAUUUGAUCACCAAAGCAAUUCAAGAUUGAGGAGAUUUAUGAGGAAUCUUGGGCAAAGCUUGGAAGUCAUUUGCCAAGAGUAAAUCAGGAAUGCAAGGAGAAAAAGUUAAGAGAAUCUGCCAUGAAGCAUAUUCUUGAUGAUAGUAGUAGCAGCCACUUUUGGAGCACUUUUUGAAGUCCAAUUGAUGCAUGCUAUAUACCAUUUCAAAGCUCAGGAAGUCAACAAUCCAAUGCUUCAAACGGUACGCAAUUCGGAGUUGAAACGAAGAAGUUGCAGCCAUUGCAAGCCAAUCACUCCAAGCUGAAGGAAGCAUUUUCCAAAGUGUUGCGAAAUCACCCUUUUGUUGCGAAGUGAUUUCGCAGCCUUUUUGUACAGUAGGGUGUAUUUCCUUCUGAAGUUGCCCGAUAUAUGCCGCAAACUGGAAGCUGAGAACAUCAAGGUGGAAGCCAACUUCGCAGCCCUGCGAGAAUAGCUUUUUGCUGCGAAGUGAUUUCGCAGCCCUUCUUGAGUGUUUGCGAAAUCUCGCAGACACCAUUUUCUCUUGCGAAAUGGUCCCUGGAGCAUCCCGAUAUUUGCUACCGACAUUGGGAGAUAUUUUACAUCAGAUUUUUGUUGUCUAAAUCCCAAAAUACUUCUUGUAAGCCACCAAUUACAAGAUUCCUUAGCUUUUAAGUUAGUAAAAAGAGAAAAUAUCCAUGUAAUAAUUAGUUUUAUAUUAUGUUCAUAUAAAUACUUCUCGGGAGCCUGUUCUCAAAAAGGGACCCUUUUGUAAAGUUUUGGGAAAGCAAGUAAAGUUCAGGUCCUUUGUUUUGUCUUACCUUCUCACUUUGUAUUAUUUAUUUCUUACUAAGUUAUGCACUCUCUGAGGAAUUUUCCCCAGAGAAUGAGUAACUAAACCUCUAGUUCCUUGGAGCUAAGGUUGCCGGGGAAGGUUCCAAAUGCAAGAAUGCAAAGCUUUGUGGUUUCAGCCAUCAAUUAAGAGGAAGUAAAGUCUUUUAGUGAUUUCUAUGUUUUUAGUUAACUUAAAACACCUUAGAGUCACCUGGGCCAACACUUGGUAAGGCAAGUGAUCUCCAUCCAUGGAGAUGCACUAGUUUACCCCUUGCGAGCCUCUGGGAGGUGACUUUAAGGUAGGAUUUUCUGGAAUUGCCAACACUUGGUAAGCUUUUGGACUCCAAGGAGACAUCCAUUAGUUAUCUCUUGCGAGCUAGAGAAGGGAAGUCUAAGGUUAAAGAUCACCUUGAAUGGUUAAGGCUUAGUGAGAGGCUUAAACCAUUGCAAGUUGCAUCAAUGAGAGAAUUAAAGUUGAAAUCUAAUUAAAGGAUGUAUCUGUACAACACCGGUUAGAGAAUUGACUAUAUGUUGAAUCUCUAAUGCGAGGAAAUGAACCAUCUGACCGGAGCUAUGUCUUUUGCAUGAGGAACCACCCCAGUGAACCUAACUCUCCAAGGAAUGUUUUUCUUCCUAAGUUAUUCUCACUACUUAUUCUGUUAGUUAGUUUAAAUCUAAAUCUUUACCAAUCAAAAGGUUGUGUUUUAUUUUUUUAGCUAACCUUGAAAUGAAACAAGACCAAUUCACUUUGAAUUGGUAUCAUUGAUAGCUUGCUAAUCCUUCCCAGUGAACGAUCCUAAAGCCGCUAUAUUAUAGUAGUUUUUUCUUUGCUACCCUAGUAUAUGGUGUAAUAGGUUAUAAAUUUUGUUGAUUACUCCCCCAAUCAAGGAGCACCAGCUGGACACGAAUCAGCUGAGACACCAAUUGGGCACGAAUCACUUGUCUAAGCAUGGGUGGAAGAUCUUGUUCAUGAGGGUGCAGAACGUUGCUGGGGCAUUGGUGAGUCCGAAAGGCAUCACUAAGAAUUCGUAUGAGCCAUACCUGAUCACACAUGUGGUCUUUGGCUCGUCCCCCUCCGCAAUCCUUACUUGGUAGUAGCCCGACCUUAGGUCUAGCUUCGUGAAGUACCUUACCCUUCCAAGUUGAUCGAAUAAGUCAGCAAUGAGCGGGAUAGGAUACUUGUUCUUUACCGUCACCUUGUUGAGUGCCCGAUAGUCUAUGCACAUUCGUAGGGACCCAUCAUGCUUCUUCUGAAAUAGAACCGGCGCGCCAUAGGAAGCCUUGGAUGGUUGGAUGAACCCCGCAUCUAGUAACUCCUUAAGUUGUCUCCUUAGUUCCUCCAACUCCGGUGGUGUCAUUCUAUAUGUACCAUAGUAGGGGGCUUAGCUCCCGACUCCAACUCAAUCCUGUGAUCUUCCUCUCUCCUAUGAGGAAGUCUCUUAGGCAACUCGGGCGACAUCACGUCCUUGAACUCAUCAAGGACCCCCUCGAUUUCCUUAGGCAUGGGUUCUCCCGACCCAUCGUCUCUUUCUUCCUUCAGGGUGGCGAGGUAGGUCACCUCUUUCCUCUUUAACCCCUUCCUAACUUGCAUAGCUGAUAGCAUAGGGGUCUUAAGCGUACCUUCAGUGACCGUAGGGACCAUGCAUGGCUUCUCCUCCUCUAAGAUAGCCAUUGAGCAUAGGAAAGGUAGUGGCACGACCUUGACCUUCUGUAGGAAGUCCAUUCCUAGCACCAUCUUGAAGUUAUCCAUGGGUGCCACUAUGAAAUCGACCCUUCCUUCCCAUGAGCCGAUGUGCAUAGCCACCCUGCAAGCUACUCCAUGUGACGGGCUUGGCAGCUGAAUUAACUGCCUUGAGUCAUCCUCCUUCCUUGGAUGCUUGGAGCUUUAGUCUCUUUGCCUCAUCCUCCGAGACAAAGUUAUGAGUGGCACCAGUGUUCACCAAGGCCUUGGUGGCCUUCCCAUUCACAAGGGCCUCUACAUACAUUAGCCCUUUGCUUUGAGGCGUCUUAGGCAUCGGCUUGGCCUUAAGGGCAUUUAGGAGUUGCAACGAUCCCACUUUAGCAUCGCCUUCCUGCUCAUUUUCCUCAAUCAUAGCAUUUAGAGCUUUCCUUUUAGGGCAGUCUCGUGCCCAGUGUGUACCAUCGCACAGGAAGCAAUUGGUCCUGGGCAUGAACUCCUUCCACUUAUCUUUGCCUUUACCAUCCUUGCCACUAGGGUCUUUGCUUGAUCCUUCCUUAGAAGUGUGGCAUUGUGAUCCAUUGUUUCCCCCACCUUUGGCCUGGUUACCCUUGGAUGGUGGUUUUGGCUUGGAGGAGUCUCCCCUUCUAUAAUCUACCAAGGACUCUGCUACCGCCAUGGUCAUGGCUAGGUCUUAGACACCAUGUCUCCUCAACUCUUGCUCGGCCCAACUUUGCAAGUUGUCCAUAAAGUUAAAUAGUAGCUCCUCCUCAGCCAUGUUAGGUAUCUCAAGCAUAAACGUAAAGAACUCCUUGACAUACUCACGGAUCGAGCCUGUGUGCUUGAGACGCUUCAUACUCUUCCUUGCUAGGUAAGCCACAUCUUCGGGAUAGAAUUGCCUUUUGAUUUCUCUCUUAAAGGCAUCCCAUGUGUCUAUGGUGCACGUCUCUUUCUCUAUGUCGGAAAACUGUCGACGCCACCAUAGAGUAGCAUUAUCGGUGAGGUAAAGGGUCGUGGUGCAUACCUUAGUGGCUUCAUCCGUCAAUGCAAUGGCCUCAAAGUAACGCUCCAUGUGCCACAAGAAGUUAUCUAGCUCCUUAGCAUCCCUCUUUCCAUUGAACGAGUGUGGCUUGGGCACCUCCACCCUUGGUGCCUCAUGAGUGGCCAUGACUCAUGUUGAUAUCGCAGUCUUGUAGAUGGCUAGCUCUUGAUGAAUCUCUUGGUCUCGGGUCUCCAUGAGCGCAGCCAAGGCCUCCAUCCUUGAUUCCACACUAGCGAACAUGAUCAUGACCUUGUCUUGGAAGGACAUGAACUCCUUGUGUGACACAGUUGAACUUGUGAGCCUAGCACCCCCUCGCGAAGGUCUUGGAUCUGCUCCCUUAGAUCCUCUAAGCCUUUCUCCAUGCCUUGCUCGAUCAAGUCCACCCCUUCCCGGGUGUCCGUCAUGGCUAGCUCCACCUUAGCUAGCCUUGCCUCCAUGUUGGCUAAGGCAUCACGAGACUUAUCCUUCCUGCCUCGGCCCCGUGCAGUAUGCUCCAUCUCCCUUCCACGGGUUUGCUCGCUAGUCUCCUCCACGUUAGAGCCCGACAUGCUUCCUUUGCUAUGCCCACUUCGUAACCGCGCUCUAAUACCACUUGUCACAGACUUAGUCGUUCACUAAGCUCGUGCAGCACUUAGGCAAGUCAAGACGCUUGAUCUUGCUAAGUCAACCUUGCUCCCAAUGCUUAGCUUGCUAGGCUAAGAUGUUCACGACUCGAAAGCUUAAAAAGCUUAGUAGGCAACUCUUUAAAGAAUGGAAGCUCUUAUUAACUCAUGGAAGCCUUUACAAAUGCUUGGAAGCUCACUUGCUUGGUGCCUUGGCCAAAUGAGGCCCUCACCUAUUUAUAGGCACCAAUGGAACUCUCUGCAACCUUAGAGGGUUCCUUACAACUCAAGUAUAUUCUAGAAAGUCCUACAUCAUUCUAGGUACAAGCCUAUGUACAACGAUAUACAAGAGACUUCUGGAAUUCUCUAGAAAGCCUUGGACUCCUCUCAUGCCUUCCACCAUAGUGUAGAAUUGUGUGGAUUCCUCCAAGCUUCUCCACAACCUUCCACACUCUUCCCACUCUAGGAGUCUCCAUAAGCUUCCUAGCUCUAUGUAAGCCCAUGGGGAGGCUCAUUUGAAUCAGCUUGUGACAAUAAGCUUGACAUUGGCAGUCACUAAGGCAAGCCUUUUUGCAAUAUUGAUUAUCAUUCGUAUCUACUAAAAUAGAAGACUACGGUUUUUUGGCUUUCAUCAUUUUUAAGCGCAAGAACAUGUCUUCAAUGGAAUUCUUCUUGUAUUUGGGUGACUUUCUGGUACACCCACUUGAGAACUCUCCAAUUUUCCAACUAUUCGGCGAGAUUGGUUUGAACCCAGGCAAACAUUUUCACAUCAAAGCAUUCUUAGUGCUACAACUUCCAAAUUUCCCACAAGCAAUUGACACACUGCAUCGGUCUUUCGGUGCCCACCAGACUGGAGACGAUGUAUUCCAAUUCGCAUAGUAUUGAAUUUCCCCUAAAGAACUCAUUACCAACUGUUUUUCAACUGAUGAGUUGGGGAUAGAGCUAUGCCCUUUAUACACGUUCCUCUAGGAGAUUUUGGACAACAAGCUGCGUGUUGCUUCAGGCAUCUCAUCAAACGUUCCAUCCCAGUCCUCACUGUACCAAUGUACAUAUAAAAUUUGAGAUAUGAUAUACUGGUACUCUUUUUCUUGAUCUAGCUUGAAGGUAUAGUUUCCAAGUGUGGCGUCAACGGGGCUUAACCAUGAGGUCAAUAUUAAGCUUUCAUUCAUCUUCAUACCAGGAAGAAAAAUAUCGGUGGGAUUACGGAAGCUCUCUCAAAUAAUCUCUUCGGAUCUAUUGCCACUCAAAACAAGGUUCCCAUAGUCCAUAAGCUUCACUAUCCUGUCUUUAGAUGAAGGUGUUUCAAUAUCAAUAGACCAGUGAACUGCUUCAUUAAUUUCGGCCAACACCUUCAGCUUACCAUCUUUUUUAAUGGCAAAAACUCCAAUGGAGGUACCAGAAAAGGGGUUCUCUCGGUUGGCUACCCACACAACUCUUGGUGGUUUAGACAUGUGAUGCCAUAUGCCCAUGAAUCUUCUAUUCUUGGAGCUUCCAUUUGGAUGAAAGAAGCCUAGUUCAAAAGUUUCACCGGAAGAGACAAGAGUUUCUCCAUUAGUAAGCCAAGUGUCUAGUGUGAUGGUGUGUCACGCCCCAAGACCCACUCCAAGGGCGUGACGGUCAUUUCACACCUCAAACCCGAAGGCUUAAAGUAUAAUCUGACCCAAACAGUCAUAUUGUAACUGGAUGUUACCAAUUACCAAAUACCUGCUCAGAGUAGCGGAAACAAAGUCUAAAAUCCUCAAAAUUCAAUUUCCAAAUAACUUCCAAAUACCAAAUGAUCCAAAAUAACAUAACUAAUAGUUAAACAAAAUCCAACAUAAAAUCCUAAGUCAAAUCCUAAUGAUGACCAUUCCUCAGCCUAGCCAUCACUCCUCACCCGAACUAAGAGUACCUGAAAAAUUUUCAACGAUUGGGAAUGAGCUCACAGCCCAAUAAGGAAUAUUAAUGCAGUUCAUGGAUCAAAUAUUUUCAUUUCAAAUAGGAGAUAUCAAUUUUUUUUUUUUUCAUCAAAUAUCAGAGUUUCAAAAAUGCCAAUAUAUUCAAAAUUCAACCAACCAAUUUCAUAUCAAAUUCAAACACUUUCCCAUCAGACUUAAUCAAAUCCAUUCAAUUUUUCAUUACUCUGGUUAUCAAAUAUCAAAUGCCCAGUUAGGUGGGACUUUUCAAAUGGGUGGCUAGCCUCAAAUUGUUCCUGGUGGACGGAACCAAACACUACUAGUACUAGUAACCUCUAAACAAACCCCUAGAGGUUGGGGUCCAAAUCAAUUACAUUCCCACCAUGAAAUGUAAAGGUCAACUAUUAUAUCCCAUUGACAGGGCCGAAUAGUCAACUAUUAUAUCCCGUUGACAAGGGCCAAAUAAACCAGAGUGAUGUUUUUUGUUCAAGUAUUCAAAUUUACACAACAUAAUAUCUCCAUAUUUUGUGUCAUAAAUAAAACAAAAUAUUCCAACAUAACAUUUAGUGCAAAACAAUUUGAUCCAUGCAUGGUAACAAAAUAUCAUUUUAUUUUCCACAAUUCAAAAUAACAUAUAAAAUAAUUUUAUUUUAUAAAUAUUACAUUAACUUCCCUUACCUCAAAAGAAGUCCUUGAAAGCUUGGGAGAAGAAUGAUUCUGAAAAAAAAUAUAAUCUACUCUUCACCUAAUAUAACAUAAGAGAAACAAUUAUUACUAUUUAUUUAUAAUUUAACUAAUCUAUUCCUUAUUUAAAUAAAACUAAUAAAUUCUCAAUUUGUUUCUAAUAACACAUUACUAAUUUAAUUAAAUUACAAUUUUAUGUCAUUAUAAAAUUCUCUAUAUAUAUAUAUAUAUAUAUUUUGCUAAAUCUAUUAUUACUAUUAUCUUAUUCAUUAAUCUAAAACUAAAUAUUAUUAUUUUAAUUAACCAAUUCAAAAGCCACUAGAUGUCUCGAGUACACCAAACCACCAAACCAAAAAGCAAGUUUUUUUUUUUUUUUUUCCAUUGCAUCAUCAUUCAUUAUAUAUAUAUAUAUAUAUAUAUAUAUAUAAAAGGCUUCCUUCCAUUUGGCACAUGCCUAUUUUUUUUUUUUUCCUCCUUGCUUCCAGUAGCACAGUACACGUACACCCCCCAUAUAUUUUUUUUUUUCUUCCUUCCUUCCUUCCAGUGCUGUGCACACGCGUUCUCCCUCUUUUUUUUUCUUUUUUUUUUUUAAUUAACCCUAACCUAAAAUCGAAAUAUUCCAAGGAAUUUUUUUUUUCUAAUAAAACUUAAGAUCUCCCAAAUUCCAAUGCUAAAAUCAAAAUAUUAAAUUUUCACUAUUUGAUAUUAAAACGAAUUAAAAAAUAAUCUAACCCUAAUCUAGAUUUGGGGUUUUCCAAAAAAAUAUAUCUAAUGUGUUUGAAAUUAAUCAAUGAAUCUAAAAUAUUAAACUAGGGGUUAGAAUCUUACCUAUAGAGAUCUGUUCUUCAACCCUGAAAUCUGACUCCAACCUUACGUUCUCUGGAAUUCUGCGAACAGGAACUCUAUUCAGAAAAGAAGGGAAAGAAUAAAAUUUCUAAUUUAUACCUAGGGUAUUUAUUCGUAAAAUUACUCUUUUACCCCUCUUCUUUUUUUUAUUAAAUUAAUUAAUUAACUAAUUUAAUUAUUAAUAACAAUUUCCUAAAUUACCCUUAAAAGAAAAUGCUUGGGCGUUACAUGGUGUCUCUAGUAGAGCAACACAGAAAAUAACACAAUAAGAAAAAAAUGGUAGAUAACAUUGUGAAUUGCAGAGACUGAAACCCUGAAUUUUCUUGUCUUUUUCCUACUAUUUUUGUUAAUCCGAGAAUCUCUUUAGUUUUGGUGCCACAAAUUCACUGUGGGAUAGCGUGCUACUUCUCUAGGUUGACCUUCUAUAUGUGGCGCCUAAAACAUUGGCCCCUUAGAUUAACUUUUUAAUUGUCUAAAACCAUUUUUACCGCAGGUCCAUACUCCGGGACAAGCCCCCACACCCCCAUCGGAUCAGUGGUGAUAGGCCCAAUCCCCCUGUUAGACCCUAAAAAAAAUCUCAUAGUUUUUUUUUCACCAUAUAUAUUGUAUUGCGAAAUUUUCAAGUCUGACAAAAUAAAAUUCGAGUCACGAAUCUUUAAUAGUUAUCAUCAAGAAAUGAGAUGGAAAUGUUUCAGCUAGUGAAAAUCUACAUCAAGAGGCUUUUUGGGAAGACAAAUAUAAAAAUACAUCUAAACAUCAUUAAACUUCAUGAUUCUAAUACACAUCAUGGGAUGAAUUCUCAAUCAUAUAUAGGUGAGUAUCACAUAUAUAUAUAUAUAUAUAGGUUUAACACACAAUGCUACAUAAUGUGGUGGAUAAAUAUGCAUGUCAAAUUGAUCAUAGUUGUAAAAUUGUUAGCUAGAAACUAAAAAUUUCUAAUCUGAUUCCUAAGUGCUUCUUUUUUUUUCUUUUUCUUUUUUUAAAAAAAAAACAAAAAAUGAUAAUAAUUUCUACAUAAAAUGUAAAAAUUAUCGUAAAAAAUUAAUAACAUUCAAUUUAGAAAAUUUUAAGAUAUUAUAUAAAACAAAUUCACCAUCUUAACAUUUAAAAGUAAUUUUUAAAGAUAUAAGAUAAGUUCAUAUUAUUUAUAUAAAAACUAUUUUAUAAUUUACAUAGAAAUUAUAUAUAUAUAUAUAUAUAUAUUGAAUUGGGUUAUUUCACAAUAUUGGAGCAUAGUUUACCUUAGGUGAUUAAAGAUGUGAUACAGUAUAGUUUUUAGGAUAGAUGUGAUAAUUUAUAAUUGAAGUUUUGAUAUGGGUUAAUUAGUAAUAUUAAACAAAGGAUAAUGCUUUUUCAUAUUCUUAGAUUUAAUUUUUGGUGAAAAUAAUUAAGAGUAAGUAUUUGAUAGUGAUUUUAAGAAAUGUUUUUAGUCUUUUUAAUACUUGAAAAAGAAAAUUUUUCAAGUGUUAGAAAAACCAAAAAUACCUUUUAGAAACAGUACUAAACAUAUUCUAAAUAUGUACUCAAUAAUCGAUUUAAUAAAUUCACGGGUGUCAAAAUAAAUAUGACAUCAAGAUAUGUUAAUAAAUUUUUUUUUUUUUUUUGAAAAAUAAUUCAACAUAUUUAUUGAAUUCACAUUCAAGACAAGGUCGCCUGUAACAUAGGUGCAUGGCUGUCCAUUUAUUCCCAAUUGCCUUAGACAAACAUCCCCUUACUCUUAAGUCAUUUUGUUUUUUUUUUUUGUGAUUGCAUGUUGAAAAUUUGAUUUUAACAUGAGUCCACUAGGAGUUCAGGACAUCUAUUAAUUAAUGGGGGCAGUUCUCGACCUCCAUGGCCUGCCUACUAAUUUUGGUGGGUUGCUCACAGGUGACGUCUGACUUAAAAUACGUCCAUCGCCCAACUUACUAUUCAUGGACAAACAAAAUAUUAGUAAUGUACCAAUCAUCUUGUAUAUGUAGUAACAUUUUCAAAUUUUUAAUCUAAACCUUGGUGUAAAUAAUUAAAUUUAAAUAAAUUAAUUAAAAUGUAUAUUUAAUUUUUUUUCACCCGCAAUUGAAGGCCGGUGGAGUGGUGAAAUCUUGGAAAUGGAAGCCAACCAUGCAGCAAAUAAAGUGACCCAAAGUCCAAGACCACGUUUAGAGCAUUUGUCCAUUUUUACUUGUUUUCAACGGCUUCUAGUCUUGAAGUUGAAAUCUGCGGUUUCAUAAACGGUAUUCUGAAUUUUCUCUCUUGCGUUCUGUUUUUCACAUUUUCCAGGAAAUGGGACCUAUUUGUUUGGCUAUCAGCAAUGAGUUUCUUGUCAGAAUCUGUAAAAGAACUAGAACUUGCAGAGAAAAAAUAAAUAAUUUGAGAGUUACGAAUUGAAGGAAGGCACACAUCUAUUUCACAAAUGAGAAUGCCUAUUUAUAGGCUUACAACCAAACGAAAAUUGCAAAAAAAAUCUUAGCUACUUUCAAAUUUUAUUGGCAUUACUUCUAUUAACUGAAAAUAGAAAAUUAUGGAGUAAGAAUCUGAUAUGAAACAAUAACAAAGACUAAGUCUAACUAAGACUUUUUCAAACUUCAGAGGCAAACUCUCAUGAGUUCUAACACUCCUCCUUGAGAUUUGCCUUGGACAUGCCAAGCUUCAACCUUAGAAACUCCAGCCUUGAUUUAGGAAGUGCCUUAGUCAUUAUGUCAGCAAGUUGCACAUCAGUUGAGCAAUAAUGCAACUUGACAAGUGAAUUCUUUUUAGCUUCCCUUAUAGAAUGAAAUUUUACAUUUAUGUGUUUGGUCUUGCCAUAUUAGACAGAAUUUUGAGCAAUGGCAAUGGCUGACUUGCUGUCACAGUAAAGCUCUGUUGGUGAGCUUUAUUCCUAGCCUAGAUCAGCAAGCAAUUUCCUUAACCAUAUCCCUUGAUUUGCAACAGCUGCUAAGGAGAUAUACUCAGCUUCUGCAGUUGAUUGUGCCACUACUUCUUGUUUUCUUGAAUUCCAGCAAAUGACACCUGAACCGAUUGUAAAUACAUAACCUGAAACGUUCUUCAUGUCAUCAACACUUCCUGCCCAAUCACUAUCAGCAUAGCCAUCUAGCUUAACUCCUCCUGUCUUUAAAUACCAAAUGCCAAGAUUUGUUGUACCUCUAACAUACUUCAGCACCCUUUUUGCAACUCCCAUGUGAACAUUGCUAGGUGAACUCAUGAAUCUUGAAAGUAAACCAGCUAGAAACAUCAAGUCAGGUCUGGUUGCUGUCAAGUAUAGUAGGUUGCCUACCAAGCUUCUAUAUGCAGAGGGUUCCUUAAGUUUCUCACCAUCAUUCUUUGAAAUUUUCUCAUUUUGUGCCAUUCCAAGGAAGUAGUUCAUGAUGCCAAGGUCAGACAUCUCAAAUACAUCUUGCAUUUCCAUUUUGAACUCAGCCAGCAAUCGUACAUUACUUCCAGUCACUAGCAUGGCAUCAACAUAAAGUGACACUACCAAUUGCAAACCAUUCUCAUUUUGUUUCAAAUACAAAGUAGCUUCAUUUUCACUCCUCCUAAAUCUAAGUUGGAUCAGGUGAGAGUCAAUUCUGCUAUACCAGGCCCUUGGUGCUUGUUCCAAACCAUAAAGAGCCUUUUGCAACUUGUACACUUUGUGUUCAUGCCUAGUAACCUCAAAGCCUUCUGGUUGUUGAACAUAAAUUUCUUCAAGAAGUAUGUCAUUUAGAAAAGCUGACUUGACAUCUAAAUGGUACACUUUUCAUCCCAUUUGACCAGCAAGUGCAAGUAACAGCCUUAUAGUGUCAUGUCUGGCUAUUGGUGCAAAUGUAUCACCAUAGUCCACUCCAGCAACUUGAGCAAAACCCUUCACAACCAAUCUAGCCUUGUGCUUGAAGAUUAAACCAUCUGAAUUCAAUUUGGUUCUGAAAACCCAUUUUACACCAAUUGUCUUCUUAGCUUCAAGUAAUUCUGUCAACUUCCAAGUUCCAUUUCUUUCAAUAACAUCAAUUUCAGCUUUCAUAACCUCAAUCCAUUCUAGAAAUCUUGCAACUUCUAUGUAACAUGUAUGCUCAACAUGUACAAGAUUGCACCUCUCAUACACAUUAGAUAAUGGCCUUACCUUAAGCACUGGUAUGUCUAAAGUUGCUUCAACAUCAAGUGGAUCUUCUGCUGGUUCAAGAAUAGAUGGAGUGGUUUGAUCACAUUUAUGGACUUUCUUCAAGUCCCAAUUCUAGUAGGAAUUUUCAUCAAAGUGCACAUCUCUACUUAUCACAAUUUUCAUUCUACUCAAGCUAUAAAUUCUGUAACCUUUUGAUUCUGCUGCAUACCCAACAAAAACACCCUUCUCAGCUCUUUCAUCAAGCUUACCUCUCUUGAUAGAUGGCACAUGAAGGUAACACAAUGAACUAAACACUUUUAGGUGCUUGACAGAUGGUUUUACACUAGACCAUGCCUAUAUUGGUGUUUUGCUCUUAACAGACUUAGUCGGUAGUCUGUUAAGCAAAUAUACUGAGGUGCUAACUACUUCAGCCCAUAGAAGCUUUGGUAGCUUCUUCUCGAGUAGCAUGCACCUCGCCAUCUCCAUUACCGUUCUGUUCUUCCUCUCAGAGACUCCAUUCUACUGCGGUGAGUAUGGAGCUGUCAGUUGGUGUACAAUUCCAACUUCUAGACAAAAAACAUUGAACUCUUUUGAGGUAUAUUCACCUCCAUUAUCAGUUCUGAGCACCUUAACCUUUUGGCCACUUUGAGUUUCAACCAUUUUCUUGAAGCUUUUGAACACAGAGAGCACUUGUGAUUUGGUUUUUAGAAAAUAAACCCAAGUCAUUCUAUUGAAAUCAUCAAUAAAUAGUGCAAAAUAAACAUUGUUGCUCAAUGAGGCUAUGCUCAUUGGUCCACAAAUAUCUGAAUGAACUAAUUCCAUCUUGUGAGUAGCUCUCUUGGACAUAUUUUGAGGAAAUGAUUUGCGAUGCUGCUUCCCUAGCUCACAACUUUCACAAGUUUGAUCAUUAACUGUGAUUUCAGGCAUGUCUUCAACCAUACUUCUUGCAUGAACUUCAAUGACUUCAAGUUGAAAUGACCAUAUCUUUUGUGCCAAACAACACUCUCAUCAAUCUUGGCACUAAAGACAUGACCUUCAACUAAAUCAAGCUUCAAAUAAAAGUUAUUUCCAUUCAUUUUAAUUUUUCCUAUCUCUGUUCCAUGUACAUCAGUGAUAAAACAAAAAUUUUCUUUAAAAGAGACUGCAUAUCCAUUUCUUAGCAUUUGUGUAACACUAAGAAGAUUUUGAUCUAGUUUUGGAAUGUAAAGAACAUUAGUGACAAUUUUUGUACCUCUCUUGGUGUUGAUAGCAAUUGUCCAUUUUCCUUUGGCCUGCACAACUUCACCAUUUCCCAACUUGACCGUUGCUUGAAUUGAUUUAUCAAUGGAGGUAAAAAUUGAUAGAUGUUUGGUCAUGUGACUGGUGCAGCCAUUGUCAAUGAGCCAAGUAUUCAGUUCAUGAGAACUGAGUACUUGUGAUGCCAUAAAUAAAUGCUUAUCAUCUUUUUUGUCUUCUUCAAUCACAUUUGCAUGUUGUUGUGUUUGCUGUUGAGAUUGUUUUUUCUUGGCUCUACAAUACUUCUCACUGUGGCCACAUUUAUUACAGAAAUUACAAUUAAAAAGGGAUUUACCUUUGUACCAACAAUCUUUCUCAACAUGGUUGGUUCUGCUGCAAUGAGAGCAAGGCGAAAAGUUUCAUUUUCUUGAAGAUCCUUCAGCUUUCCCUUUGUUGUUCUUGAAGAACUUCUUUCCUUUUAGGUUUCCAGAACUCUUUCCCUUAUGAUUUGCUCAAAAAGCACCUUCAGUAGCUUCAACACCUUUCAUUAAGACCCUUUGCUCCUGCGCAUGAAGCUUGCUGGUUAAUUCUGCAAUUGUGAGACUUUGCAAGUCACAAGACUCUUCAAUUGUAGAGAUCUUGGCUUCAAACUUUUAAGGCACUGAAACCAUGAUCUUUUCUACCACCUUUUGAUCUGUAAAUGCCUCACCAAGAAGCCUCAUUUGGUUUACAACAUCCAUUAACUUGCUAGAAUAAUCUUUCACAGAUUCAUUGUCUUUCAUCUUCAUCAAUUCAAACUCUCUCUUCAAUGUGAGGAGCCUGACAUUUUUUACUGUCACUACCAUCAAAUUCACCUUGGAGUUUGUCUCAUACCAGUUUAGGUGUUUCCAAGUCCAUGAUUUUGGUGAAGAUGUGGUCUACAAGUCCUGAAUGUAGGCAGGUGAUGGCUUUGUCUUUCUUAAGUUUUUCCUCCUCAUAUGCUUUCAUCUGAGCAACUGUAGGAUUUGCUCCCAAUGGUGGUGGAUCAGCUUCAAACAUCACAACAUUCCACAAACCUUGAGACCUUAAGCAAAACCUCAUCUUGACAACCCAAAUGUGAUAGUGUUCACCAUUAAACACUGGAAUAACAGAGGAAGUACUGCUGGAAGUAGACAUGUUUGCACCACAACUGCCUGAAAAAAAUAAAUCACUCAACCUCACUGUGUUUAGCACUCAAAACACUCAAAGAAACUUUGCCUCACAACUCGUAGGAACAAGGCUCUGAUACCACUGUCAGAAUCUGUAAAAUAACUAGAAUUUGCAGAGAAAAAAUAAAUAAUUUGAGAGUUAAGAAUUGAAGGAAGGCACACAUCUAUUUCACAAAUGAGAAUGCCUAUUUAUAGGCUUACAACCAGACAGAAAUUGCAAAAAAAUCUCAGCUACUUUCACAUUUUAUUGGCACUACUUCUACUAACUGAAAACAGAAAAUUAUGGAGCAAGAAUUUGAAACAAUAACAAACUUUAGAGGCAAAUUCUCAUGAGUUCUAACAUGGCAUAUGGGUUUUGGGUUUUUCAAUUGAGGGAAGCCUAUCAUAGCAUUUAAAAAUGGAUCCCCAUAGUGGCCAACACCAUAGGAUGAUAAUUCAUCAUGGUUCUUAAUCAUGAUCUUUAUUAAAUAGAUCAAACCCAAGUACGAUACAGAUAAUAAUCGUAUUAGAAAAACAUAAAUUCAUCUAAUUAUUUAAUAAACAAUAAGUCGUAUAAUUCAUUUAAUUAAUCUAAUAAUCAUACAGAAUUAGGUCUUAUACAAAUCUACACGAUUAAUUUCUUAAUCUAAUAUGUUUAUAAUUCAAUUAAUUUAUUUAUUUAAAAUCAAUUUUUAAAUAAAUCAAAUAUAAGUUAAAUGAGUUAGGGUUAAUCAUAUUAAUCAGUAUGAUUAUCAAGUUGGUCAAUUAGGAUCAAAAUUGUGUUUGACUAAUUUAUUUAAAAAUAACUUAUUUAUUAAAUGAGUUAUACAUAUUAACAUAAAUUUAAUCCUUAAACCCACAAAAAAUAAAUUGAAUUUGAGUCAUGUUAACGAAAUAUAUUACACUUUUGACACUCGUAGUCUACGUAAAGAAAAGAUGUUGCAUCUUGCCAUUAGCUAAGCUUAGAGCAUCCAACAACUGACUAUAAGGGUCCAUAUCUUAGGCUAAAUUGAAUGAAAGCAUUAUAUUAUACAAAACCCCCUAUGCUGAUGAUGGUGCAAACACCAAAUUUGAUUUCCCAAAGUUGUAUAAUAAUGUAUUAGUUGUGUCUGUUGUGCGGAAGUUAGGUACAACUUAGUGACAAGUGUGUAUGGGGCUUGGAAUCUAGUGAGAAUCCAUUGGAUAGGAGUACAAAAUGUCGGCCAUGAGCAUGAUCUAGCCAUCCACAUUUCUCUGUGUCAGAGGGGUCAGGACCAUGGAAGAAAAUAUCAAAAUAUAUUACUGAUAUAGUAUUGGAGGUUAUAAAAACGAUAUUUGAUGAAAAAAAUAUUAUUCUGACAAAAUUAUUUUAAGGAGUAUCGAUAUAUUUGUGAUUACUGAUAUUUUUAUCUUUGGUCAAAUUAGUUUUUGAAUUCACCCAUGCAUGACAUUUGAGAUUCAGCUUAAAAGUUGGAUCAACCCACCUGAUCACCUAAGCUUAUAGAAUAGUUACAAUGAAAAAAAUAUAGUUAUAUGACAUGGAAACACUUGAGUCUUCAUUGAUUUCCUUUUCAGAUUGAAAACUAUUAGAAAAAUUGAUUCAAUUGUCAUGAAAUUGGUAUCCACAAAACCAAAGAAACACCCUAAAACUAGUCCAAAAUCUUAUCUAACCCACAUAAAUUACAGAAAAUUAUCUUAACAGCAACCAAAUUCCUAAGUCUUUGCACAAAAUCCUAUCCAAGAGAGAUCUUUUAGAUUUCUUAUCCACUCUGGAUUGACUGGUAGAGACUUUUAAACCAGGGUUGUGCCACAAGCUCAUGAACAAAUAAAAUUGGACAAAGAAUUGAAUGAGUGGAUAAACAUCAUUGUCAAUGUUUCUACUUGAGCGAGAAAUACGUUAGAUUUCUACACUUCUAAAUAGUUGCCUUGAGUGAUUCCUUGGUCCCACAGUAUUUGCUUCCCCCUUUCCUCGUGGUUUGGGAAAAGGACAUCCACACGGUUUGGUGUAGGAACCACCCUUUCCUUUGCUAUCCAUGAUUAUUUUUCUUUCCAAUAAUAAGGAAAACAUUCAUCAAGGCCCCAUGUGAAAACUAUUAUUGGUGACUGUAGGAAUAGAGCUAUUCAAUUUUUCCAAUAUACAGGACAUUGGAUGGAUACUGAUAACAAAAAAGAAUUACAUUAAAAUGUAUAAGCGAUGUAUUAUAAUUCAUUUUCUCAUCUAUUUUCAUGUUUUGAUUAUUUUAACGAGAUGGGAUGAAAUUAAAUAUGAUUUUAACAGAAGUGAAACUUGUCUCGUAAAUAGGAUUCCAUGUUGAUUUCAACAGAAGUAUGUGGAAGGAUAUCGUGGUUAAUUUAUUUAUUUUUUCAUUUUCAUUUCUAUUAUUUUUAAAUAUUGAAAUAACAACAAAUACUCAUUUCAAAUUUAUAUUGCUAGAUGCAUACAAAUAUAAGAACUGAAGCACCAAAUUCACUCCUAUUCUAAGAGGAAUAAGAACAUUGAUUUUCAUUCCCUACAGUCAAGUACCGAACAUGGCCUAAAACGUAAGGGUUCAUGGGAGAUCCUUCUCGCCUAUCGACCUUCUUCUAUGGUGGCUAGGAACUCACUAUUCAAGGAUGCUUCUGGUUUGCUUGAAGAAGAAGCUGAGCUGGAAAGGUCUCUCCUUACGACAAAAGCUGGUUGUUUAGGAACUGGGAGUGUGGCAGUGUCACUGCUGAGCAUUACAACUGCAACUGCCAUGGUGGGACGGUCACUUGGGUCUUCUUGCACACACAACAGCCCAACAUUCACGCACCUCAGAAAUUCAUUUGUUUUACAUGUUUCACUUAGUGUCUGGUCCAUCAACUCCAACACCCUGUCUUCCUUCCACAGCUUCCAUGCCUGGGAAAGUUUGGACGUACAAGGGUUUCAUGGCAUAUAUAUAGAAUGUCCAAAGGAUCAAUGCAAAUGAGAAAUUCAAAGCACUUACAUGGGCUAGAAGGCUCAGAUUCCGGUCAGACUGAUAAGAUCUGGUGUUCCUCUUCCCGCUGAUGAUCUCAAGUACCACAACACCAAAGCUAAAGACAUCAGACUUUUCUGAGAAAAACCCAUCCAAUGCAUACUCUGGAGACAUAUAGCCACUGCAUUGAACCAGUUAAAAACACUACUCAGUUAAUUGGGGAUGCAAUCAUGCAACUACUUGCAUUUUACCAUACACAAUAUGCAGUACUUACUAAGUUCCAACUACUCUGUUUGUGCUUGCUUCUACUUGCUUACUCUCAAAAAUCCUUGCCAAGCCAAAGUCUGAAAUUUUGGGAUUCAUCUCGUCAUCAAGUAGAAUGUUGCUUGUUUUCAAGUCUCUAUGGAUAAUCUUCAAUCUUGAAUCUUGGUGAAGAUAAAGUAGCCCUCGAGCAAUUCCCAAAAUGAUAUCAAAUCGCUUCUCCCAGUUCAGUAACAGGCAUAGAGUUUGAUCUUGCAAUGUUCCCAUUGGAAAGCACGACUUCAGCAUGUACACGUUGUAAUAUGGGAGAAAAAAAAAGGAACUUUUAGGCAGGUUAGAGGCAAACCAAAUAUGAAGGAGUCUAAGCUUUUGUUGGGCAUGUAUUCAUAGAGUAAAAUCUUCUCAUCUCCUUCAAUACAAUAGCCCAAAAGUCUAACCAAAUUUCGAUGCUGAAGUUUGGCAAUUAACACAACCUCGUUCUUAAAUUCCUGUAAGCCUUGUCCCGAAGCUCUUGAGAGUCUCUUUACUGCAAUUUCUCGCCCUUCAGGAAACUUUCCCUAGAUGCCAUAGCGCAUGGUAUUAGACAGACAAACCAGAAACCUUGAAAUGAGACUAAUGUGGAAAUUAAGGACUAUUACUUUGUAAACUGGCCCAAAGCCCCCCUGUCCAAGCUUAUUUGCAUCUGAAAAGUGAUCUGUAGCAGCCAGUAUGUCUUCUAAGUCGAAAAAUGGUACGUCAAUGCCUUUCUUAUCAUCUUCUUUGAAUUGCUCAGAGUCUAUUAAGUCUUUCACACGGCUCUCGCUAUGAUACAAGUGAAGCCCUGGAUUUGUUCUGUUUUCUGAAUUCAGAAACAAGACUACAUUAUGAAGAAGUCCCCUAAAAAUAUUAUCAAUUCUGCCAAUCAACACGAAACAAAAAAAGACCAGAACUUAAACGGUGGCGCAAAUAGCACAAAGAUUACCUUGCCCUUUGGAGAUGGUUCUUUUUCGAAAAUAAGCAAUACAACCAAUGAUGCAUAGAAGUCCAACUACUACAACAGCAGUUACUAUGCCUACCACAACUACCAGAGCCGAGGAUGAUGAUGAUGACUUCUGGUUUGCAGGUGUUGGAGCCUCCGCAAGAUUGCCACCAUCUGAAACAAAGAAAGACCACUCUCAUUCAUGGAGAAGGCAGCGCAUCUGCCAUUACUAAUCACUGUGUCUUUCAAUGCAAUUUAGCAAUAUGCUUGCUGAAAAGCAUCCUCACCUUGUGUACAAUUUAAACUGGAGCUGUUCCAUUUGAAGUUUUGAUUACAAAAACACCUUCUCGUUCUAUUUUGCGUUCUGCAACUCGAAUUUGGCCAGUCCUUGCAGUCUGUUGCUGAGUUACAAACCGGCUCUGGUGGUGGAUCCCAACUUAUUUCAAUUUCAUACUGACCUUUCAUAGGCAUGCUGGAGCUAGAAUUUCCUGUGUCAGCAUUGCACCAGCUAGUUAUCCUGAAAGGUGGAUUGAGCUGCAGUAUCUUCGUGUCUUGUGAAUUUCGUGCUUCGCAGUUAUCAAUAUCAUUCACUUGGAUGAGAAACUUCGAUCUCUCUGGAGUGAUGCUGGUUACUCGGUAGCUGCCAUUAGGUAAGGCGAACCAGACUUGGUCUGUGGCCUUGUCACAUCUGAAACUGAAGUACAUGGGAUCACCACAGUUUGGUCCAGUGCUUAGUGGAUAGGGGAUCAAGUUUGUGCCACAAGUUUCACAAUUUCUUACUGUUGAUUCUGCAGAAUUAGAAUGAAUUUCAAGAUUUUCCUCAUUAACAAUCAAUUAAAUUCAGAAGUAGAAGGGGGCAAGCAGAGAGGAUACCUAUAUCUGAUUUGGCGACACGGAGAGAAAGAUUAUAGCCAUCUGUGUUAUACUCCUGAAGACUACCGAGAUCUUCAGACCAAACCAGCACUUGGGAGGGGUGCUAGCACGGCCCCUUCGUAUCGUUCCAACUCCAGCAUAAGCUUGACAGCGACAGGUCUUAAGGCACUCUCUUCUGCAUUCACUUUCAUCCUUAUCCGAAAACUCAAUGUCAUACUUUCUUACUUUAAUCAUCUUCAAGAUCAAGAAUGUGUCCCCACAGAGGGUUGUCUUUUUAGAACACCCACCUGAAAAAUCUCCAUUAGUCCAUCUCUCCAGCGAGUUAGGCUCGAAUCCAGGCAAACAUUUGCACAUAAAUGCAUUGUUAACAUUGCAAGAACCGAAAUUCCCACAAGCAUUCAACACACUGCAUCGGUCUUGCGGCGCCCACCAGAAUGCAGACCACUCCUCCGUAUAAUUAUCCCAAACUAGAUAUCUUAUUUCCCCGGUGAAAUUCAUCACCAACCGUGUAUAAGAACUGCGGACAAAUUCAGACCCAGUUGGUUUUCGGGUCUUGCUAAAAUUGGAUAAGAGCUCGGCUGCUGCAGAACUCAUUCCUUCUGAUUCCUCACUUCUCCAAUAUUUAACAAUUGAAUCUUCAAAUAUGAUAUACUGAUCUUUAUCAUCAUCUUGCUUGAAAGUAUAGCUUCCAGGUGCAGGGUCAACGGGGCUUACCCAUGAAGUCAAUGUUAAGUUUCCCUCCAUAAUCAUCCCAGGAAGAAAAGUAUCAGUUGGGUUCUUGAAACUCUCCCAAAGAAUCUUCCCAGAUCUGUUGUCCCUUAAAACAAAGUUCCCAGAAUCCAUGACCUUGGCCACCCUACCCAUGGAAGAUGAGCUUCCAAGAUUAGUAAACCAGUAAGCUGCUCCACUUUCAUUCACUAGCUUGAGGUUACCGUCAUCUGCAAUGGCAAGAGCUCCAACACUGUCGUCAGGAAGGGGGUUGUCUCUAUUGGCUACCCAUACAACUGUUCUCUCCUUCAACCCGUAGUACCAUAUGCCAAUGUAUUUUCCAUUGUUGAACCCUCCCUUGGGAAUAAAGAAGCCCAAUUCAAAAGUUUGAUUGGCUGAAACAAGAGUUCCUCUACCAUCAUCAAUAAGCAAAUUGUCUGGUGUGAUGGUAUCUCUAGCAGAGCAGCACAGGAUAGAACACAAGAAGAAAAAGAUUGCAUGUCGCAUUGAAUUGCAGAGACUGAAACCAUUAAUUUUCAUCUAGUCCUUUGCAGGAUAGAACCCAAGAAGAAAAAGAUUGCAGACAGCAUAUGAGUUGCAGAGACUGAAACCAUUAAUUUUCAUCUAGUCCUGUUGCCCACCAUUUUUUUUAAUGGUAAGAGUAUGAAAAGUUUGGUGGCAGAGUUGAGUGUGGGGUUGCUGCUGCUGUAACGCACUCUCAAUAUUAUCAUAAAUAAAUAAAUAAAGAUUAUUAAAAAAAAAAAAAAAACCUCCAUUGUAUCUAGGUUGACAUCUUAUUAUGGGAAAAGAAAGAAAGGAAAAAAAAGCAAUGCAGAAUUAAAUUAAAAAAAAAUCCAAAAAAUUAAAAGUGAAAUGGAAAUUCUGCCCUCCCUAAAAAUAUAAAUUUAGUUUUAAUUCUUUUUUUAAUUAAAAAAACAAUAAUGAUAAUUAAACAUUAUUAAUAAAAAAUAAUACUUACCUUUGAGUAUUAAUGAUAUAUUAAGAUUUAAUUAAAAUUUAAAAAUAUAUUUUAUGUUAAUACCUAUUUCUUCCCUUUUUAUCCUAUCUUUAUCUUUUUUUUAGUGGAACCAUUGUUCCAAUUUAUUUUGCAUUAAUUCAAAUUAUAUGAGCUUUUUUGUUUUAUAAUAAACCCUUCAAUGAAAUUGACUUUUUAAAAUUUUGUAUUUGAUGGUUUAUAAGCUUUAAUUUAAUGGUGGGUUAUCUAUAGUUUUAAUCUUAAUAUUUAAAAAAAAAUAUUUUUAAAAUUUGUGACAUUUAAUUAAAUAAUAAAUUUUGCUUUCUUUAGUUUUUGAUGAUUUACUCUUAUUGAAUUGUUUAUAUGAAGUGAUAGCUUAUGUUUUAUUUUAAUUAUAAAGCUGAUGCACCUUAAUAAAAUAUUUUGACUAUAAAUAAUAUCGGUAAAGAUCUCUACACAUAUUGUGUAAUAUAUUUGAUGAAGACCUCUACAUAUAUUGUCUACUUUUGAGUCCAUUAGCUUUUAUAUUCCUACUUAUAACAUUGUUUACAUAUUCCAAAUAGCUAAUGGGUGGUCAUCCUCAUGUUUUCAAUUAGGAAUUAGUUUUAAUAUCACUUAACCCAACUCAUGUAACCUUAUUUUCUUUAAACCCAUUAAUCCUCGCAACUUUAAACCCUAACAACAAAUGGGCCACCCUUAAAGUACUAAAAAUUUCUUAUUCAAAUGAUAUGAAAUAUUAUAUUCGAUCAUUUAUAUAGACACAUUGUUCUCAUCAUGACCCAUAGGGUUUAUGGAUAGUCAAAACUCUACAUAUUUUUUAUUAGGGAUUAGCACAACCUACUAGACUUCUUGAUUUUACGUAUACUAAAUGCAUCACUCUUCUAAGUAUUACGAAUUCUCAUAUGAGAAUUUGAAAAAGGGAAAAGUGGGUUUUUCCUCACUAAUUUAAAGAUAUAUAGAAAAAAAAACCUCAAAUUUUAUAAAUAAGUUUUAUCUUUAUCAAUUUAAAAAUAUUUUAAAAUACAUACACUUUUACAUAAAUCAGAUAAUUAUUUUUUGAAAUAGCACUUUACUUGAUAAUAUAAAAUAAAAUUAUCAAAAAAUAUUUAUCAUUUUAAGUUAAUAAAAGUACAUUGCAAACAAAUAUAUUAUAAAUUUUUAUUAUAUAAUAUAAGGUACAAAUCAUUAUGGAAAAAUUCAGUAUAUUCCUCAAGUGAUAAAUAAUUUUUUUGCUAAUUCUCUAGCUAAUAAUGAUUUUAUAUUUUAUAUUAUAUAAAUCCCUUCAUCUUCUUACCUUUUUUUAAAAAAAAUAAAAUUGAAUAAAAUUUUUGUUGAUUUACAUCAACAAUAAAAUAAGAAACUUAAAAAAAAAAACCUAAAAGUUAAAAUAUAAAAAUAAAAUAUUGACUUUCAAUUGGCGUACACUAGUUAAAAAUCUAGAUAUAAUGGAAGGCAAUAUUUUCUUUUAUUUUAUUUUAUUUUAAAUUUUUAAGUAUUUUAGUUUUAAUUGUAUUUUUAAAAUUUUAAAUUUCUUAUUUUAUUGUUCCUAAGGAUGUUUGUUUCUAGAGAGAGAAAAAAAAUCUUAAAUCAAGUCUCACAAUUAACAGAACUAAAAGAAAAAUUAGUUUUUUACAAUUAAAUAUUUAUGUAUCUACUUGUUAAUUGGUAUUAUUAACAUAGUAAGUGCAAGUAAAAUGUUAUUUCAGAAAAUAAUUAUCUGACUUAAAAAAAUAUAUGUAUUUUAAAAUAUUUUUAAAUGGAAGAAGAUAAAAUUGAUUUAUAAAAUUUGGGGGUUUUCUUUUCUAUAUUUUUUUUUCAAACUAGUGACUUAUAAUCCACUUUUCCCAAAUCAACACAUUUACACCGAUUAAAAUAAUGAUAUAAAUAACAUUUUUUUUCUUAACUUUCAUGUUUUAUUAAGAUAUCAUGUUUUGUACCUAAAAAGAAAAGAAUGACAAAGAAAAUAAUUUUCUCACAUGUAAUAGAAAAAGAAAAAUAGUAAGGAAAUGAUGAGAGAAAAUUUAAAAGAUUUUCUUUUCCAUUUUCAUUAGAUAAAAGCAUGAAAAAUUUAGGAAAAAAAAUAUAUACUACUCAAUAAUUCAAUUUUCUAGAAACCAAAUAUAGUCUAAUAUUGCUCUACGUUCAAAGUCAAUUUUCAACAAUGAAUUCUCCUCUUACAGUACUUCUUCUUAACUCGAUUGUGACAAGUGUUGUCAUAUGAAUUUUCUUCCCUCAAUCUACCUACUGUGAAAUGUAAUGUAAAAAAAAAGAAAAAGUACUCCUAAUCGAAUAAUGAGUAAUCACUAGAGACUUUGGAGUGUAGCAUGCAUCCUAUUCUUUAAUUAUUGUCUCUCAAACCAGUCUUAACAUUUUUAUUCAUUGAAUUAAAUUAUUAAAUAUACAAAUUAUUGACUGGUGUCUAAGUUUUUUCUUUCUUCAAUUUCUAGCUUUAAGUUCCCAAAUGAAAAAAAAAAAUUGUCAAGAUCUUGAUUAGAAAAACCUAUUGUUUAAUUGGAAAUAAAGUGGACUCAGUCUCCUUUCUUGUUGAUACAUUGCUUUCAUCUCUUUUCCUUCUGGCUGGCUACUAUGCUUCCCGCUCUCUUCCCAAGCCUAAAAGAAGGAUAACAUUUUGUUUGUUCCUCCGCCCCCCCUAUGAAUACAUGUCACUGGCUAUGAUCAUGAUGAUGUUCAUUUUUUAAAACAAAGAAAAAUGAAAAAUAUGAGCAUCAACCAAUAAAUUUUAGUACCCUUUCUCCAACUUGGAGGAGUUCCAAAUGGGUAAUUUUUUUAUAUUUUUGUUAUAAUUUUUAUGUUUUUUAUUUUAAAUAAACAAGACAAUCCAUUUUUCUUCUGAACAUUUUUUCUUUUCCCCUUUAGCCCUAAUGGCAGUCCACUUCAAAUAUUUUUGUGCCCAAAGGGUCAAAACUAAGGAAAGAUUCAAGAAAAAAUUAGGAGAAUUAAAAAUCAAAGCCCAAAAAGGGUUCCAGCAAGUGGAUGAUUUUUCUCAGUCAACUACUGCAAUUUGGGUCUUCCUUCCUCUACUUCCUAUUUUAUUUCCCAUAGGUAGGUUAGGCACAUUGACAUCUUUUUAUCCAUUUCUGUUUGCUUUUGUGCUUUUUUGGGAAAUCAUAAUCUGAUGUAGAUCCUGAUGGAACAGGUUUCUAUAGAAAAAUCAACAAGGGCUUUUUUUUUUUUACUUUUAGUUAGAUUCUGUUAUCUCAUGGGUAUGGCAUGGAAGAAUUGAUCCUUCACUCAAAAUUGAGAGGAAAAAAAAUAGAUGUUUAUUUAUUUUUGUAUUAUAGCUCCUUUACACAUGUCACAAUCCCAUUUGCCUUAAUUCGUAGGCAUGACAUCCAAAAGUACUUUUCAGUACCAUAAUUUGAUGGAAAAAGUGGGUUUUGACUCGUUAAGGAAAAUUCUAUAUUACCUCAUGGGUAUGGCAUGGAUGAAUUGACCAUUCAAUGAAAAUUAAGGGGAAAAAAUAGAUGUUUAUUUAUUUUUGUGUUAUAGCUCCUUUACAUAUGUCACAAUCUCAUUUAUAUUAAUUUGUUGGCAUGGCAUCCGAAAAUAAUUUUCGAUACCAUAAUUUAAUGAGAAAAUAAGUUUUGAUUCACUAAUAUGAAAUAUAUAGAUAAAAAAAAAUCUUAAUUUUUCAAAAUCAAUAUUAUCUUCAUUUAUUUAAAAAUCAACAAGGGGUUUUUUUUAUUUAAUUUAUAGGAAUAUUCUAUGUUACCUCAUUGGUAUGGCAUGGAAGAAUUGACCAUUCAUUGAAAAUUAAGGGAAAAAAUAGAUAUUUAUUUAUUUUUGUAUUAUAGCUCCUUCACACAUGUCACAAACCUAUCUAUGUUAGUAGUACAUGUGAUGCUUGCAAAUAAACACAAAUAGGAGAAGGUGCAGAGUUAGCAUCACAUGUUCAUGUAUUACAAUAUGAUUGGUUCUUUCUCUUUCCUCCAUAAAAUUCUCUUAUAUAGUUGACUGGUUCUUUCUCAUAUAUGGUUGUAGAUAUGAUUUGAUCAAACCGCAUUAAAACCCGGGUAACUUAGUUUGCUUUAUUUAUGUUAUUCUGUUCAAUCUGGCAUUAUAGUUUUUUAUCUUGCAAGGAUUCCAUUGAAAAACAUAACUGAAAGGGCUUUUAAGAUUUGGAGUAUAAAUAUAGUUUCCAAUAUCUUCCAAUAUAUGUUGUGGGCUCAGAAAGAAGUCCUCCCAAUUGUACUGAAAAAUCAGUGCAUUUAUGCUGCAAUUUGUUAAUAUAGUUCAGUCAGAAACAGAGCAGAUAAACAGAUAUAACAACAAAAUCCUGGGAGUUGGACAAUUUAUUAGCAGCCUUCACCAUGUACAGGAUCCCAUAGAGACGUCCAAAACAGAGCAUCAAAUGGGAACUCCUCCUGGACUAUCAACCUUCUUCUAUGGUAGCUAGGAUUUCACUGUUCCAGGAUGCUUCAGGUUUGCUAGAAGAAGAAGCUGUCCUAGAAAGGUCUCUUUUUAUGACAAAUGCCGGUUGUUUAGGAACCGGCAUUGUUGCAAUGUCACUACUGAGCAUUACAACUGCAACUGCUAUGGUGGGUCGGUCACUUGGGUCUUCUUGCACACACAACAACCCAACAUUCACACACCUCAAAAAUUCUUUUGUGUUGCAUGUUUCGCUUAGUGUCUGGUCCAUCAGCUCCAACACCUUGUCUUCUUUCAAUAGCUUCCAUGCCUGGGACAGUUUGAGAAUAGAAAGUUAAGUAUGGUAUGGUAUAUCGUUGAGAACGACUAAAAGAUCAAUGCAAAUGAGAGAUUCAAAGCCCUCACUUGACCCAGAAGGCUCAGUGUUUGGUCAGACUGAUAAAAGCGAGUGUUCCUCUUCCCACUGAUGAUCUCAAGCACCAUAACACCAAAGCUAAAGACAUCAGACUUCUCUGAGAAAAACCCAUCCAAUGCAUACUCUGGAGACAUAUAGCCACUGCAUUGAACCAGUUAAAAGCACUACUCUGUUAAUUGGGGAUGCGAUCAUGCAACUGCUUGCUUUUUUCAGUACACAAUAUGCAAUACUUACUAAGUUCCAACUACUCUGUUUGUGCUUGCCUCUACUUGCUUACUGUAAAAAAUCCUCGCCAAGCCAAAGUCUGAAAUUUUGGGAUUCAUCUCAUCAUCAAGUAGAAUGUUGCUUGUUUUCAAGUCCCUAUGAAUAAUCUUCAGUCUUGAAUCUUGGUGAAGAUACAGCAGCCCUCGAGCAAUUCCCAUAAUGAUGUCAAACCGCUUCUCCCAGUUCAGUAACUUGCAUAGGGUUCGAUCUUGCAAGGUUCCCAUUGGAAAGCAUUACUUCAGAUAUGUAUACAAGAAUGUAUAUGUUACAUGAAAAAUAAAAGGGCUUUAAGGCAGGUUUAGAGACAAACCAAAUAUGAAGGAAUCUAAGCUUUUGUUGGGCAUAUAUUCAUAGAGUAAAAUCUUCUCAUCACCUUCAACACAAUAGCCCAAAAGUCUAACCAGAUUCCGAUGCUGAAGUUUGGCAAUUAACACAACCUCAUUCUUAAAUUCCUGUAGGCCUUGUCCUGAAGCUCUAGAGAGUCUCUUAACCGCAAUUUCUCGCCCCUCUGGAAACUUGCCCUGGAAGCCACAGUGCAUAUGCAUUGGGCAUAUGUUAGAACUUGGUGACUUGAAUUCUAUUUGGUUCGAUUCCAGAAGCUCGCGAUGCGACAUAGGUAGUAAAGCUAAAAUUAUGAAUUUUUUUUUUGGUCUAUGGUAGUAACAGAGGGAUCGGACCUAUUACUCUUUCAUGUAUAUAUAUAUAUAUAUAUAUAUACAUGCGGUGAUAUAUAGUUUUCAAUGUUAUGAUGAUUAUGUUUUUGCUAUAGUCGUCCGUAUCUCUUUCCUCUUGUACUAAUUUUUGACAUAGUAAAAUUUCUUCUCUUUGUGGUCUUUCUUAUCUAGGGUUUUCCACACAAAUCUAUGUGUUCUUAUCCUGUUUUAUUCCUUAUUGCAUAUUCUCAUUAUUUUGUAACAGCAUUGAUGAUGAGAAAUCAGUUGAAAAUGAGAGGAACAUGGAAGUUAAGAACAAUUACCUUGUAAACUGGACCAAAACCCCCUUGUCCAAGCUUAUUUGCAUCUGAAAAGUUAUCUGUAGCAGCCAGUAUGUCUUCUAAGUCGAAAAACGGUACAUCAAUGCCUUUCUUAUCCUCUUCUUUGAAUUGCUCUGAGUCUAUUAAGUGUUUCACAUGACUCUCACUAUCAUAUAAGUGAAGCACUUGAUUUGCUCUGUUCUCUGAACUCAAAAAAAAAACAGAAAAUAUUGUAUAGAAGACCCUGAAAUAUUCUCAAUUCAGCCAAGCACAAGUCGAAAAGAAAAGACCAGAAGUUAUAGGCUAGUGCAUAUGGCACAAAGAUUACCUUUCCUUUUGGUGAUGGUUCUUUUGCGCAAACAAGCAAUAUAACCAAUGAUGCCUAAAACCGCAACUAGAACGACAGCAAUUGUUAUGCCUACCACAACCACUGGAGAUGACGACGAUGACUUCUGAUCAGCAGGCUUUGUACCCUCUGCAGGAUUGACACCUGAAACAAAGAAGGAACUGAAUUGAACUUCUCUCACCUACCCAGAAGGCAAAUUUAGUAAGAUACUUGGUGAACAGAAUCCUCACCUUGUGUACAAUUUAAACUUGAGCUAUUCCAUUUGAAGUUUUCAUUGCAAAAGCACCUUCUCGUUCCAUCUCGCGUUCCGCAGGUUGAAUUUGGCCAGUCCUUGCAAUCUGCUGAUGAGGUACACACCGGCUCCAAUGGUGGAUCCCAACUGAUCUCUACUUCAAUACUAUUUUUCAAUGACAUCUCAGAGCCAAAAUUGUCAGUUCCAACCUCUUUGCACACAUCAGUCAAGUGAAAAGGCGGGUUUAGUGGCGGAAUCAGACUUCGUGAACUGCAAUCCGCUUCUUUCAGUUGGAUUACAAAUGUUAAUGUCUCUGGGUUAAUGCUAGUUACUCGGUAGGGACCACCAGGUACCUUGAACUGAACCUGGGCUGUGAUAUUGUUACAUUCAAAAUUGAAGUACGUUGAAUCACCACACUUUGAUCCAGUGCUUAGAGGAUAAGGAAUCAUGUUUGAGCCACAAGUUUCACAAUUCCUUAAUGUUGUUUCUGCAAAGACAGUAGAAUACCAUGUGGGCAUUUCAGUUACAAAUGGAUUAAUGCUUGUUUUUUCAAAGAAAAAAUAAAAUAAAAAUUGAAAGGGACAUACUUAUAUCUGAAAUGGCCACACGAACGGAGAGGUUGUAGGCAUCAGAGGCAUACUCCUCCUGAAGAUCAGUAAGGUCAUCCGUCCAAAUCAAGCAAUAUUCUAGGGCAUCAGUGACACCUCUUUGUCGUUUGAUAUAAGUUUCAGCAUAAGCUUGACAUCGGCAUUCUUUAAGGCAAGCCUUUCUGCAAUAAUCACUAUCAUUCGUAUCUGGUAUAAUCACACGGUCUGGCUUUCUCACUUUCAUCAUCUUUAAGCUCAGGAACACGUCUUCACUGGAACUCUUCUCGCAUAUGGGAGACUUUCUGGUACACCCACUUGAAAACUCUUCAGUUUUCCAAAUAUCCGGCGAGGCGGGUUUGAACCCAGGUAAACAUUUGCACAUCAAAGCAUUGUUAGUGUUACAACUACCGAAUUUCCCACAAGCUUUUGGCACACUGCAUCGAUCUUGCGGUGCCCACCAGUCUGGAGAUGAUCUACUCGGAUUCAGAUAGUACCUGAUUUCCCCUGAAGAACUCAUCACCAACCGACUGGUAUUCUUAUACCUGGAGGACACUAUUUCAAGGGUUCUAUUGUAGAAUUUUCCAGGGCUGGUUGACUUGCCGGUCUUGCUGAAGUUGGAUAACAAGCUGAGUAUUGCAUAUGGCAUUUCUUUCGAGUCCUCACUGCUCCAAUAUGAGACAAAUGAAUCCUGUAUGUUAUACUGAUCCUCAUUGUCUUGAUCUAGCUUGAAAGUAAAGUUUCCAGGUGCCGGGUCAACAGAACUCAGCCAUGAAGUCAAUAUUAAGUUUUCAUCCAUCUUCAUCCCAGGAAGAAAAGUAUCUGUAGGAUGAUCGAAGCUCUCCCAAAGAAUUAUCCCUGAUCUGUUGUCACUCAAAACAAGGUUCCCAGAGUCCAUGAGCUUCACCACCCUCCCUGUUGAUGAAUAUGUUGCAAUAUCAGAAGACCAGUGAACUGUCCCAUUUGCAUCCAAUACCUUGAGCUCACCAUCUUCUUUAAUGGCAAAAACUCCAGAGGGGGUAUCAGAAAGGGGAAGGGGUUUCUUUCGGUUGGCCACCCAUACAACGCUUCGUGGUUUCGACUUGUAAUACCAUAUGCCCACGAAUCUUCCAAUCUUGGAGCUUCCAUUUGGAUUAAAGAAGCCAAGUUCAAAGGUUUUGCCUGCAGAAACAACAGUUUCUCCAUCAUCACUAAGCCAGUCCUCCGGUGUGAUGGUAUCUCUAGCAGAGCAAUACAGGACAGAACACAAGACGAAAAAGAUGGUAGAUAGCAUGUGAGUUGCAGAGACAGGAACCAUGAAUUUUC
rnacentral:lncRNA from 1 species